rnacentral:lncRNA from 1 species
UUUUUUUUUGCGUAAACCCCAGCUUUGGCCUCGCCGAACGAGAUUUCCAGAGAAAAGCCAACUCCAGGAGCUUUCCUUUGUCCCCCCCACACCACCAGACGGAAAGCGAAAGAGGUUCGUUUGCUUUCCAGCCCCAAAGUUGCAAAUGCAACGCCGCCCGCUCAUGGAUGGAUGGACGGGUGGCGUUCAGGUUUAGGCGGACGACCACUGGUAUGCCGUGCCUGGCGAGAACCUGCGAGGCUACGACGGCAUUUUUCUCUCAGGGGAGAAGAAUCAAUCCCCCGCGAUGCCUAUGAGGCCAUGAUCGCUCGAUUUGUCAAAGGCUACCUAAAGAAAAAGCCUAAAACGGCAUCGCGAAAAUGGAGCAUUUGAGGAGGGGCCAAAGUCACGGGCCCUACUACGAGGCUACGACGAUCAUCCAUCCUACGGCGUGUGCGCUCCGUCCCUCCGAAUCUGCCUUUCCGGCCGGCGUCGCCGUCGCAAUCAUCACGGAGUGGCAACGCGACGCGCACCGCGAAUCUAUCUACCUCUCCUGCGACGGACAACUCCUUGCGAGACACAGCCGAUCUACCGGCCAAGGCGCUGCACGGCCACCCUGGGCGCCGUACGUACGCGCGCACCCUGCUCGCGCCCACGCGGCCGCGACCGCACACGAGACGAGCACAGUGCAAUGCAGGGCUGCUCGGUCCGUGUCGCGGCAGGGCAUGGCAGGAGCGGACGCGCACGGGACGGGACAAAACAGGACACCGAGCGCCCGCGCCCAGAGCGUUGGCUCCGGCACGCGGGCACGUGCCGCCUGCCAGCCCAGCCCUAGCGCUCUGCCCCCUCGAGGCCGAGCCGAGGGAGGGACACCUCGCCGUCGCCACGACCGAUGCUCGACCUUUCUUUCUCCACCGACCCCGCGGCGCAUUCCACGGCUGUCCCCGAGCUGGCCUCCACCCCACUCUCACUCACUCGGCUCCGCUCCUCUCACAAAGCGAGAAAGCAACAAAGAAUUCCUCUCCUCCCCUCGCCUCGAGAUGCUGCCAUACGCGUGGUGUGCUUCUACAGUACCACCAGCGGUUUUUUAAAGGUGACCAGGCCAGGCCAGAUCUGGAGCAGAGCGCCCCGCCCAGCCUCAGAUCCAUUCCGCUUCCGUCCGCGUGAUGCACGUACGAACGAGCACGAGCAUUCUUCUGCGACCUACUACGUACUACUACUACUAUACCAAUACGUGUACGAUAUCACGUACGCUCUUCAAGAUCCGAUCUGCCGGAGCAAGAGCUAAAAAUCAUGCUACGAGCUGAGCAGCAGUAGUAGUAACGAGGAUGCAGGAAGGGCACAGUAAAAGUAAAAGAAUAAUGAUACAUAUGGUGAGAUGAAUUAACCGGGGGAUUGUACAAUGGAACGGACAUGGAUCAAACACCACCACCAGCGACGACGACGACCAAACAAUCAGAUCUGUCCAUCCACGCCCAACACACACAUACUGCUACUGGUAACCGAAUCGAAUGCCGAAUGUAAUCAUCAUCAAAGCAACAAAAAGAAGGAAGAUGAACAGCUCGAAGAACACCACCACAAAAGGAGAGGGAGCGGGGCCCCUCGGAUAAAUUAAAUCGCAGCCGAUCUGCGGAUCUCUCAGUAGAAGGCGGCGGCGGCGGCCACGGCGGCGGUGGCGACCCACGCAGCGGCGGGGUGGACGGUGCCGGCGGCGCCGGCGGGGGUGGUGGGCGUGUCCAUUGACGGGGCGGGGGCGGNNNNNNNNNNNNNNNNNNNNNNNNNNNNNNNNNNNNNNNNNNNNNNNNNNNNNNNNNNNNNNNNNNNNNNNNNNNNNNNNNNNNNNNNNNNNNNNNNNNNNNNNNNNNNNNNNNNNNNNNNNNNNNNNNNNNNNNNNNNNNNNNNNNNNNNNNNNNNNNNNNNNNNNNNNNNNNNNNNNNNNNNNNNNNNNNNNNNNNNNNNNNNNNNNNNNNNNNNNNNNNNNNNNNNNNNNNNNNNNNNNNNNNNNNNNNNNNNNNNNNNNNNNNNNNNNNNNNNNNNNNNNNNNNNNNNNNNNNNNNGGGCGCGGGGGCGGGUGCGGCGGGCGCCGGCGCCGGGGGAGGGGUGGCAGGGGCCACGGCCGGCGGGGGGGACACCGGCGCCGGGGUCGGCGGCGGCAUCAUCGGAGGCGGGGACACCGGGGCCACGGGCGCGGGCAGCGGGGUGGCCGCCGGGGCCUGGGCCGCGGUGGCGGCGAAGAGCAUGGUCAGGGCCAGAGCCACGAGCUGGAUGCGCGCCAUUGGAGGAGUGGAGAGGAGAGCUUGAGCUUGAGCUUGGGUUGUGGAUUCUGCUUUUGCUCGAGGUGGUGGUGGUGGUGGUGUGUACUGUAAUGGUGUCCGAGACGGUAUUGGGCCGGGAGUUUAUAAAGGGGCCGCGGACGGGGCUACGACGAUGAAUUACGUGCACUAUCAGGGGCCUUGAUGCUAAUUUCCAUGCUGGGUAGCCGUCCGAUCGACAUCCAACAGCCGGUCUGGGUGGAAAGCUUCAACUCUUUUUUCUUCUCCGAACUUCUGACUUCUGAACGGCAACCAAGUUUUUUUCCAAACGAGCAGAAAAAUCUAGCUCAAUCCCAACAGCUGGCAGGCAUAAUUUUCUUUCUUUUAGUUCACGGGAAAUUCUCCCGCGAUCGCCUUGCCUAAUUUUGCUGAUUAUUUGCUGUUUCUCGUUAUGGUUCACGCGUAGUUCUGGUCGACGGUGAGCUGGGUUUCUCUUCCUGUUUUGCCUUGCCCAAUUUUGUCUUCGGUCGAUCAAUGUAAAAUGGCACGUAGCUAAUGAGCCAAUUGGCCCACGCGUUUGCGGCGUUCUUUACAGCGAUAAUAAAAUGUCAGAUUUCAAAACAAUGUUACUUUCCAAAGUCAAGGCCACGCGUAAAUGUGAAAUAGCAAGUGGUAUUUGCUAAUGAGCCGAUUGGCCCACGCGUUUGCGGAGUUAUCUCAUCGAGUUUUUCUUUACAAGGUAAUAAAAAAUCAGAUUUCAAAAACAAAGUUAUUACAAAGUCAAAGCGCUUUUUCUCGCAAUUACGUGGAUGACGCACACGCGCAAACCUGAAAUAUCAAGAAGUACUGUAUUUGCUAGUGAGUCGAUUGGCUCACACGAUUGCGAUGUUUGUGCAUCGAGUUUUCUUUACAAGGAUAAUGGAGGUCCAUUUUCAACAGCAAGGUUGCCUCCAAGGUCAAGGUGCUUCUUUAUGCAGCUACAACACACAUGUAGACACGCACACACACGCACUUGGAACCUUGUAAAUUUGGAGAAUUUCUUUUCUUUUCUUUUUUAGGGUUGGUUCAGCCCAUCUACCCGUAAAAGUAAACACUUGUGACUUUGCCAUGUUUAGUUGAGGUAAGAGGGUGCUUGGAUCCAAGAGACUUAUUUUAGUCUGACUAAAAAUAGUCUCUUUAAUAGGCUAAAGUUCCAAGCACCCCUGACUAAAGAGGGGCUAAAACUAGUCUUGAGACUAAAAAAAUUUAGUCAGGGGUACCCCUAUUAAAAUGUGGAUUAGUCCUCUCUCCUCAUUUAACUCCCCUCACUACUAGAAAAAGGCUUAUUAGUGGCGCACCAGUUUUGCCUACUAAUGGCGCACUACUGGUGCGCCACUAGCAUCACGCCACUAGUAAUUUUUACUAAUGGCGCACCGCUGGUGCGCCAUUAGUAUCUGGUACUCUAAUGGCGCACCGGGCAGUGCGCCAUUAGUAUAGGCCCCGGUGCGCCAUUAGUAUGCCUCCCAGUGGGCAUGUGCUUUGCCAUACUAAUGGCGCACUGCUGGGUGAUGCGCCAUUAGUAUCCUUUGGCAUACUAAUGGCGCACGUUUGGGUGAUGCGCCAUUAGUAUGUAUAUUAGGGAUUUUUUUUUCUUUUCUGAUAUUUGCACAGAUUACAAAAUAUAUUAUUGGACAGAAUAUAAACAACACCACACAGCAACAGCAGAUUCAUCGAAUACAAUAGAAGAUUAGUCUCCGAAUACAAUUCAUCAUAUUAGUCUCCGAAAUCAAAAGACCGAACAAAGAUAGAACAUUACAAGUCUCGAGACCGCGAGUAGCGAGUUUGUCGAAAUUAAUACUAAUCCUAACAAGUCCUACUAAUCAUCAUCAUACAACUUCUACUCGUUAUUAAUAACAAGUCAUACGAUCAUCAUCCUGAUAGUCAUCGAACCAACCCUACUUAAUUGUUCUUAGCACAUGAUCAUCAGUAUUAGGCAGGACCUAAAAUACCCUAUUUAAGGUAAAAUAGCAUAAAACGAUAUAGACCCUGACUCUCCAUUAUGGAGAAUGGAGAUCAUCCUGUCUCCAAUUCUUGCGCGGCGCUUCCUUUUGCUUCCAAGAACCUCCUUACGACUGUCCAUACAUUUUUUCUAUUCUCUGAUUAGCAUGUCUCCACUUCUUCUAGAAAUCCGGUAUGGACAGUUGAGAUUUGUAGGAUGACCUGGAUAUAAGUUCAAAACUUGAAGGCUGCCAUUCUGAUACAUCAAAUGAGGCACACAAUCCUCUGGGAUUCUCUGUUGAAAAACAUAGUAAUAACUUCAUAGUUAGCAAUGAUGUACUAGUUUUAGAAGUAUGCAAAAGAUGCACGGAUGUCGUAAUAGUAAAAAAUCUUAUCAGGGUAUCUCCAUGGUAGUUACCGUAGUUCAACACGUGCACUAGUGGCACGUAUUGACCAUAAUGUUGAGGAGUUUGAUUGUAGAUAUUGUAAUUCUCAAGAUCAGUACAAAAUCCGACCAGAUGAUUUUUCUCCUGAUAAGUUAACUCGGAGCCAUCGGUGUAGUGGGUUUUGUCUACCAUUUUCCGCACAUUUUUUGAACAAUCAAAAUAAGCUGUCAAUGGAAAUAAGUUGUCAACUAUUUUGAAAUAAACAAUAUAGAUUAGUUAAUAAUUAACUAUGUUUGAGAAACUCACAUAGCGGUAGAACUGGAGGCGUAUCAACAAGGACCCAAAUGUCCAUAUUGUCUUGGUCGAUGCCAGGAUCACCAAGAUCCAUGGUGACAAGCAUACCCUCAUCAAAACCAUACAUCUUGCAAAAUGCUUCCCAAUUUUUGCAACCAAAAUGGGUUACGCUCUCAGCAUUAUAUAGAUUUACUUCAAAAUCCACAUCAUGAUGUGUCCUUAGGUGAAUUUUCUUUGUUUCAAAAUUUUCAUGAUCUUCAAAAUCCAUCCUCUCCAAGACAUAGCGUCUUGCAUGGCAUGGGAUAAACUAUACUCGAAUUGUAAAAGAUGAAAUUACACGUUGAAAUAGUUGAAGUCAUGCUUAAUUAUGCAAAAAAUACUUGUCGUCGUUGCGUACCGUUUCAAUUUCGAAGGUCUCCUCGAGCUUAAUGCUGAAGCGCCGAUCAUCGUCCAGGUGAGGCCUGUCGCACAGACCUCGACCGUCGUGGCACCAGUCGCACUCCCCCGGGAGACUUUCGUCGUCCGAUGACGACAUUUCCUAUGUUCAUAAUUCAAAACUACAUCAUCUCUGUUGGGUCCAAUAAGAUAAUCCACAGUGUGGUGAAAACACGCCCAUCCAAAUAGAAUAUGUGGUAUGGGCUUUUUUAGUAGGUCAUCCUACCAGAUUAGGGUUUAUCGAUGACGAGCAACUGACAUUAGUAAUAACUAUGAGUAGAUAUCACACUUCUAUAUGAAUAACACAAGAGGCAGUUGAUCCUACUUAAUUAAGUACUAAGAUACCCCGGCCCAUGCAUUAGUCGGAAGUGCCCCAUAUGUCCUAUUUUUAGCAAAGUCAUGCUAAAAUUCACGGAAAAUUUCAGCAUGACCUUUGCUGAAAAUAGGACAUAUGGAGUACCCGAAUUUGCCAGAACGAAAGUUAAUCGACAUUCCGGCAAACUCAAGGGCCUCUCGGGGUACCUGCAAAAUCAUCACGACACGAUGGUCGCAGACAAAACCCAGCAAACUAGCAAUUGAUGGAUCAACACGUAAAACAUGUCCAAUAAGAGCAUAUAAUUCAACAACUCCACUGAAAAUGAGAGCUGAAAGAUGCAGGGAGCACAAACAGCUCAGAAAAAGGAUGCAGGGAGCACAAAGAGCUACACUCUGAAUCUUUUAUCUAUUUAUACAUGUAAAUUAGCACUCCGAUGCUGGCCUUGACAAAUGAUCCCACUAUGUUGUUUGCUGGAAUCUGCAAAAUGAUCCCACUAUGUUGUUUGCUGGAAUCUGCAAAAUGAUCCCACUAUGUUGUUAUACUUGAGAACACUGUAACAAAAUCAAAACCACAAUAAACAGUGGUCAAAUACAGAAGAAGGAACAAUUUAUUUGUACUAUAAAAAAGGUUAGAGAGAAAAGUUAAUGAGGAUGAGUCACAUAAACCAAUUCAGAUCACUCCCUCCCCAACACUGGCAAUGCUCACUAGAUCUUUAUAAACCUGGGUACUUGUUUGGGAUAAAAAUAAUAGAAGGGAUUUCAGGAAGGAGUUCAAAACAUAUAACAUUGGAGGGUUAGAUUCAAUUUAACCUCUUGUACCUCCUGUACAUGUGUGAAUUAAGGAGUAGCAAGCACAGGAACAACAAAAUUCAGAGAUGACAGAAAAUCAAGGCACAAAUUACACAGAACCAUGAAGCUAAAAUAUAACUAUUUAAAUCAAGGCACUAUUAGAAAAGACAACAUAGUUCAGUAAAGUCAUGAACAUAAAUACUGCAGAAUUUAGAGACCACUUAGUACUGUAAAUUCAGUUAGCAACAAGACAGAGAAAUUGCACUUAGAUUUCAAAGAAAAAUAUGACUACUCCACACUGUAAAUCAUCAACAUUGACACUGUAAUAACUGUAUACUCCACACUNNNNNNNNNNNNNNNNNNNNNNNNNNNNNNNNNNNNNNNNNNNNNNNNNNNNNNNNNNNNNNNNNNNNNNNNNNNNNNNNNNNNNNNNNNNNNNNNNNNNNNNNNNNNNNNNNNNNNNNNNNNNNNNNNNNNNNNNNNNNNNNNNNNNNNNNNNNNNNNNNNNNNNNNNNNNNNNNNNNNNNNNNNNNNNNNNNNNNNNNNNNNNNNNNNNNNNNNNNNNNNNNNNNNNNNNNNNNNNNNNNNNNNNNNNNNNNNNNNNNNNNNNNNNNNNNNNNNNNNNNNNNNNNNNNNNNNNNNNNNNNNNNNNNNNNNNNNNNNNNNNNNNNNNNNNNNNNNNNNNNNNNNNNNNNNNNNNNNNNNNNNNNNNNNNNNNNNNNNNNNNNNNNNNNNNNNNNNNNNNNNNNNNNNNNNNNNNNNNNNNNNNNNNNNNNNNNNNNNNNNNNNNNNNNNNNNNNNNNNNNNNNNNNNNNNNNNNNNNNNNNNNNNNNNNNNNNNNNNNNNNNNNNNNNNNNNNNNNNNNNNNNNNNNNNNNNNNNNNNNNNNNNNNNNNNNNNNNNNNNNNNNNNNNNNNNNNNNNNNNNNNNNNNNNNNNNNNNNNNNNNNNNNNNNNNNNNNNNNNNNNNNNNNNNNNNNNNNNNNNNNNNNNNNNNNNNNNNNNNNNNNNNNNNNNNNNNNNNNNNNNNNNNNNNNNNNNNNNNNNNNNNNNNNNNNNNNNNNNNNNNNNNNNNNNNNNNNNNNNNNNNNNNNNNNNNNNNNNNNNNNNNNNNNNNNNNNNNNNNNNNNNNNNNNNNNNNNNNNNNNNNNNNNNNNNNNNNNNNNNNNNNNNNNNNNNNNNNNNNNNNNNNNNNNNNNNNNNNNNNNNNNNNNNNNNNNNNNNNNNNNNNNNNNNNNNNNNNNNNNNNNNNNNNNNNNNNNNNNNNNNNNNNNNNNNNNNNNNNNNNNNNNNNNNNNNNNNNNNNNNNNNNNNNNNNNNNNNNNNNNNNNNNNNNNNNNNNNNNNNNNNNNNNNNNNNNNNNNNNNNNNNNNNNNNNNNNNNNNNNNNNNNNNNNNNNNNNNNNNNNNNNNNNNNNNNNNNNNNNNNNNNNNNNNNNNNNNNNNNNNNNNNNNNNNNNNNNNNNNNNNNNNNNNNNNNNNNNNNNNNNNNNNNNNNNNNNNNNNNNNNNNNNNNNNNNNNNNNNNNNNNNNNNNNNNNNNNNNNNNNNNNNNNNNNNNNNNNNNNNNNNNNNNNNNNNNNNNNNNNNNNNNNNNNNNNNNNNNNNNNNNNNNNNNNNNNNNNNNNNNNNNNNNNNNNNNNNNNNNNNNNNNNNNNNNNNNNNNNNNNNNNNNNNNNNNNNNNNGAGGGUGCGGUGGAUCGUCGGCGGCGGUGGAGCAGGGGAGCUAGGGUGCGGUGGGUCGUCGGCGGCGGUGGAACGGGGGAGGGUGCGGGGGCUCGGCGGUGGCGCCCGGUGGAGCGGGGUAGAGGGUGCAGGGGGUGCUCGGCGGCGAGGGGGACCGGAUCUGGCGAGGUGGGAUAGCGAUCGAGAUGGAGGGGGAUCGAGAUCAAGUGUCCAUGAAAUAUACACUAAUGGCGUACGGGGGAGCAGUGCGCCAUUACUAGCUUAAACUAGUAAUGGCCCCUGGUGCGCCAUUAGUAGUUUUGCAAAAAAGUAAAAAAUAAAAAAAAUAUUGUAGUGGCGCACUAUGCUGCUGGUGCGCCAUUACUACUAGUUACAACUAGUAAUGGCGCACUAUGUCCUGAUGCGCCAUUAGUAUGUCUGGCAAAAAAAAAAUUGUUGCUAAUGGCGCACCGUGUGUCUGGUGCGUCAUUAGUGUAUUUCACACUAAUGGCGCACCAGCACAUGGUGCGCCACUGCUACAUAGCAAUGGCGCACCACAUGUCUGGUGCGCCAUUAGUGGCCAUUCCAUCUAUAGCCUUUUUCCUAGUAGUGCCUCCUUUAACACAGGCGAGUUCUUGAUUCGAGGGUUUGAAGGAUAAUAAAUGCUCAUUAACUUGAUUUUAGUCUCUUCAGUAUUUGAAUUCAAGCAUGGGUGAGGCUAGCAAGUUUUAGUCUCACUACUUUUAGUCAUGAGACUAAAACGUAUCAAGCACCCUCCAAGGAUGUAGAAAAUAACCAUCAACCGAAUGCGACUGACUCAUUCCAAGAUGGUUUACCGAUUUACGUGUGUGGUUCACCCUGUACGAUCGGACCGAGUAUGCGAGUGUCAAAUCAUCAAACAUCGUCAUCUUUCUCAUCCAAAGAUCAAUAACCCGCAUUGUCUCAUCAUUUCAUGAUGUAUUGCGUUGCCUGAUAUACAUCAUAUUUUUUGCUCAGUAAAUAAAACUUGCAAAACUAGCAAGAGGCUGUACAUUGUGUAUGUUAGUAUGUGUGCACGCGCACGUCGUGGGGCACUUAUAAGGAAAAACGUCUUUCUAGAAAAAUAGCCAUAAAAUAGAGCUCCUUGUUUUGAUCAUUUCAUGAUAGCAUCAACCAGCUAAGAUUGGUUGCCUACAUAAUUAACACCUUCGGAAUGAAAUGAUUGGUUUGGUGCCGAUCAAUGGAGCGCACGUUGCCCACACCAAUUCUAUAUUGAGCCGUUGGUAGAUGAUUGGGUUGCUAUCAGCGUUUCUCCAUCAAAAUUUUGGGUUUACGACACAACGAAACGAGAAAGGAAUCACACUAACAAAGACGGUUGGAAAAACAAGAGAAAUUGCUAUUAUCAAGCUAUCUCUUCCGUGUAUUCUUCACGCACAUUGUUUGGCUUGCAAGUUUUGGUCUCCUGCCUGUUAUGUACAGCCUAACCCAAACCCUUUUCAAAACCUAAAGCUCCACACGUUUAGAUUGCUCGAUUUGGUCCAUAGGGUAUACCUAACAUGCCAAAUCUUUCCAGAACCUAAUGUGCCGUUCCUUUCCUUCUCAAAAUGUCCACCUUGUUCCAUAAGAUAAAUCCAAAGUUUUCCAACCUAAACCGUGCCCUUCCAAAGCCCAACGCUCCACUCCUCCAACGUUCAUAUUCUUUGGACAGAAGAUACACACGAUUGCACUUGUCUCAUUCCUAACAACCAUGUGGAAGAGUGUGAUUAUGUGGGUAGAUAGGCAGAGCUCUGAAUCAAACCGACAAAAGCAAGUCCCUGCCUGAAAGCAAGAGUUCAAUGGAAAUAUGGACUAAUCGCAACAAUGGAUGGUCCCUGAAAACUUACUUUGAAAACCAAGUUAAUUUACGAUUUUCAUAGUAACUUUGUCGAAACUCAUGUUUCAUUCCUUACUAAACUGGAAUCACUAUCUAAUUAUAAGAAACUCGUUUCAAACAUGCAACAAACCUGUUCACUACUUGAAUCAUUGUGCCUCCUUUUUAAGGCUUAAUUUGUGAUUGCCGAAUUGUGUUUUGUUAUGACGAUUUCAUAAUUACUAUGUAAAAUUAGUCACAAAAGUAGACAAAAGUGGUUCAAACAUACGCUCAAAUAGGCAAAAACAGAUUAGGCAACACAAGGUUAUCAUAAACCACCACAAUACCAAACUCAGCCUAAGUAAAGCUGACUUUUUCCUAGACAAGGAAAAUGCAAUGCGUAUAUGACAACGAUGUCAGAACAAAGCCAGUAAAGGCAAGAACACGAGUUUUCAUCUGGAGAUCACCUCUAGAAACCGAAGAUAACGCCAUCAAGGAGAUGAUGUAAGAGCAAUGUCGUUACCAAGUCUAGCCGACAAAGACCACAUCGAGUCUUUUGGCUUGGCGCACAAAAUCUAACAUCACUUGAUCCAACCAAUGGAGGCAAACUUAUUCCCGACGAUUGCGUCAAUGUGCGCUCUAGAUUUGGCAUCAUCCGAUGACAAGGAACCUCGCGCAAAACGUUAUGAAGGGGUCGCCACUCCGCCCUCGAUGCCCCUGCGACUACCCAUCGCUACCACCGCCUUGGCUUCCAUGCCAUAAUCCGCCGUGCGCCAUCCUCUAACGGGCAACCACCAUGACGGGAGAUCAACAAGAGCCCUACCACCGCCAUCCGUCGCAAGAUCUUUGCUCAUGGCAUCCCCCGGCGGCGGGGGAGGAGGAGGUGGGGGGAGGUAUGGUAGAGACGCUAACUUCCUUAACUCCAUUUUUUAUGUAAUAAAAAAAUAGAGAAAUGUGCCAACCAAUCUUUGUACUCCCUCCGUUUCUUUUUACUCCGCAUAUAAGAUUUGGUCAAAGUCAAACUAGACAAAGUUUGACCAAAUUUAUAUAAAAAAAUAUGAACAUCUACAAUACUAAAACCAUAUAAUAUGAAAAUACGUUUCAUGGUGCAUCUGAUAAUAUUGAUUUCAUAUUGUGAAUGUUUAUAUUUUUUAAUAUAAAGUUAGUCAAACUUUACCAAGCUUGACUUUGACCAAACCUUAUAUGCAGACUAAAAGGAAACGGAGGGAGUAUCUAAAAAUGUACACGACCAACGAAUAUCAUUGACCUUCUGAUCGACGAUAUAAACCCAUAUUCCCAUUGUUCUAGGCCGUGAGUUGCCAACAAACAUCCUGAUCCUGCCCGGAAUAUUAUCCACCGAAUGACAUCUGAGCCGAUCCGAUUUAACAAGAGCAAACUUGCCAAAAACAAGUCCGUUGGUUCGAUCAAAGCCCCGUCAGGUCCAUGGAGACGGGCUGUGGCCAGGGUGGAAGAUUCCGGCCGGUCGGCCAGCCGCGGUGUAGUACAGAGCUAUGUGACGCCGACGUACCAACUAAGCGACGACAACCACCAUCUUCCGAGUGAAAUGAAAUCUACGACUACGUGGGUGCAAGGCCGCUACGUGACGGCCGCGAACUCUGCUGGGCACUGUGAUAAAAAGUCGUGGAGGUGUCGUCUCCCAUGGCCCUGUUGCACGCCCACGAAGCAUGUAGUAGUGCUGCACAGUUGUAUAAAAACCGGAGAUGCCAAGUGGGCCACGGAGGUUAAUAGUAGAUGUCAUAAAAGAUCAGUGCGCAGCUAGGCAUUUUGCUUGGCCACUCAUCAAAGUGUUUACGAAGGCAUUGACUCAUGGCAAAUGGAUAGCAAAUCUCAUGCUACAUCAGGUAAAAGUGGGCAUUGCCUAAAAGAAAGGUAAAAGUGGGCAUAGUUUUCUUACCAAUUCCUGUGUCCGGGAGAAUUUUGUUCGGCAGUCGGUUGGAAGAAGUCCUUCACAUAUUCGGAAGAAAGUGGGCGCCUAAACCAGCUUGACAUAAUCAUAGACUGAAUGGGUCGUCGACAAAAUGAUUGGGAAUUUUUCCCAAGCAAAUUCAAAAUUCCACCAUCCGUUGGUUAAUCAAGAGGUGGUUGGUACCAGUAGUACUAGCGAAGCAGCCGCCAUCACAAAAAACAAUAGCACGAGCCAAAUCAGAAAGACAGCCGCUGCUUGCAAAGCAUGCCCCCACAGCCUUACGAUCGGGACCCCCUAAUAUAACAGGACAGCUAAGUUCGCCGGUGAUUCGCUCGUCUAAAGGCGCUCAUCUAGCUUCGUUUCGUUGUAUUUCCUCGUGUCUGGAGCUUGAUGGGAGGUUAGUUAGGUGGUCGCCAAUGAUUGAGGAUUACCUGGCUGUGAUGGAGGAGCUGGCUGGCCACAUUGGUGGGCGUUCAGGUGAGAUGGACAUGGGAACUCCAUCACAUGCCCGGUUCAAGCGCCGGCCCCGGCCCUGCCUGGCGAUCCCUGUUGGGGAAGCUGUAGCAUUUCUCAUGCCGCGCAUGUAGAAAUCUCCUGCGUGCCAACCGCCGUCGCCCUUGGCCCAGUGCGCGAUGAGCAUGGCACCGCCACGGCGUGGUCGCAAUCGCUACAUGCGGCUACAGGCAAGAACUCGGGGCAGCAUGUUAGUUCAGGGAAUUGAUGAUAUAAAAAUACCAGAACUUACCAUCAACUUCUAGCAUUAAUCAUGCCUCAUGGCUCCAUGCUUAAGAUGUUGCAAUGGGGCCUUUCAAGGCAAAUGCGCCCCUCGUAUCUUUAUUCUAGAAUGUUAUAAUGUCACAAAAACACAAAUUGACUUGCAAACGAGGGCAUUUCAGUGCCACAUUAUUAUAGGAACAAAGAGCUUGGUAGCCAUUCACAGGUCGAAGGAAGAAUGAAAGAACAGACAGCUAUGGACUAGAUUCCCUCCAGACUUCUUAUCCCCAACUAAAUGGCUAGCAACUUCAGUCUACUUACAUGUGGAACAGUGGAAACAAAGUGUGCCAUUAUUAGACAAAGCUCUAUAUACCAGUUGCAACUGUAGUCGAUUUCACAAAGAUGCGCCCGACUCCCAGCUCAAGAGUUUGUCACGCUUUGCAGCAUGCGUUGUCCAGGGCUAGGAGAGUAAGAUCCGCGUACUGUUUUAACCAACUGACAACUCACCAAAAUGAGUCGAAACUGACAUUAUUCUCAUGCUUCCUUCAGACUGUGGCCUGUCUACUCCAAUCUAUGGGCUUGCCUUGAGCAAGAUGGAAGAGAAUGGAGCAAUUCUAUACCCUGAUCCAGUAAGUGGCACCCCUUCCGGUGCAAUAUCGUUUGGUGAUUCCAGGUUGGUAUCCACCUGCAACAAGGACACAAUAGCAGUUUCAGGCUAAUUAUCCAUUAAACUUGUACUCCCUUCGAUCCAUAUUAAUUGACGCUGCUCUAGUACAAAGUUAGUACAACAUUAAACUAGAGCAGCGUCAAUUAAUAUGGAUCGGAGGGAGUAGCAAGUUCAGAACUAAGCCACUUGCUUCCAGAAAAUUGCAAAAAUCUAUCUUUCUUGGAAAACAUUGUGAGGAAAAUCAGUAGAUUUAUCCAAGCAAUAGAUGUAGUAGCACCGGAGGAACUAGACAGUACGACCACUGAGUUACAAAAAUUUAGCAAGACCAGAAACUAUGCAUACCACACGGUUCCAGUGUUUUUGUUGAGGGGCUGGGGGAAUCACAGCAUCCACAGAAUAGUCAUGGGCAUUGAAUGCCAAAUAGAUAUCUCCACCAGAGUUGUGGUCGUGUAUCCUACAUUAAUCGCCAAACAAAACAGUUGAGAAGACAAGAACUCAUUGGCCAUUGCAACCAAAUUACAACAAUACUAUCAUAUGGUCAGAAUGAAUUAUACGAUCAAAACUGAAAGCCAAACUUCCUUACGUGAAUGCCAAGAAUUUGCUUUCCAAGUUAUCCCAACAAUCCUCGUGCCAAGUGACAUCAUUCUACAAUCAAGAAAGAUCAGAAUGCAAUGAAAACCUUUGGAAGAAAAUCAAACCAAGAGUUGCAUACUUGAAUCCUACAAAAGCUAGGAAUUGUCGUUUCUAACAUGCAAUGCACAAUAAGAGACCAGGGAGAUCACAUACUUAGCAAAUACUCAACAGAAACUGAUGACUAUAUUUCAGUAAAGGAAGAAAUGUUUAUUUUCAAUACGCCAGUCAACUGCAAGAACAACACUAAGAAUUUGAACAUACUUUACUGAGAAACCUGUCCCGUUUCAGUAUUGGGUGGUUCUGACGGAACUUAAUCAUCUCUGAGAAAAACCUGAAAUGGCCAUAUCUUCUUUCCGCCAACUGUAUCACAUGGACAGGGGGGGAAAACAAGUUAGCAUAUAGAUGUGGCACAUCCAUAACACAUUUUGAAUGGAAAACCAAAAUAAUAUGUAACCUGUCCCCACUGGAAAUUGUUUAUGCAGGUAUCAUGUCCAUAGCUAUUAUUGUUUCCAUAACGUGUAUGACCAUAUUCAUCUCCCAUCAACAUCAUUGGGGUGCCCUAUUACAAAAAAAUGUACACAAUUAGUAAUUUUUACAUUAUGCAAUACCACGUAAAAGUCCAACUGUGGAGUGAUCAAUAAUAUUUACUUGAGAAAUCAUUAAUGCCACAUGGAAGUUCUUCAUUUGUCUCGAACGCAGAGCUAAUACAUUUGAAUCAUUUGUUUCUCCUGUUUGGCAACAAGACCAAAAUAGGUUGUUACCAACAUUUAAUAUGUCAAAUCUUUCAAAAACAAGCAACGAAUAUAUCAAUAUCUACACAUAACAUGAUGGCGUUAAGUGAAACAAACUGAACUAAUGUUCCUUCCAAAAUAUGAUAACCAUCCAUGGUUGUAUUUUCUCCGAGAAAACAGAAAGCUUGCGUCUCGAUGCAUUGAUAUAAAAAUAGUAGUAACCGUAGAAGCCUAAGACUACGCUGAAGCAACCGACCACUCAAGACAAGACCACAACCAACGGUCACAAGACAGACAUUACAACAAACAUCACCAAACCAACCCUGGCCUAGAUGCCAUCCACACAAACGGACAGAACACGACGCCCAUCACAAGAACAGAGAAUCCAACUCCGCAAAGAAGGGCAGAAUUGGGCUACUCCACUUUGGAGGCGACAUAGUUGUAUUUGGUCUAAUCGUGAUACAGAAAGCUCCAGUACUAAGACUAUGCAUGGGUUCUGUCAAGUGUCAAGCAUACUACAAAAUUAAUUUUAAACUAAAAGAGCAUUUUGUGUUCUCCUUGUUGUGCAAUACUAUACUUCAGUCAAAUAUCUUAAGAACGGCGGCUCUGGAGAUCGCCUCUGUGUGGUUGGGUGUCUCCUCUGGCUGCUUGGGUGGUUGAGUCAUCGAUCCAUUGGGUGCGGGGCCUCGGGGCCCGUGUGCUGUGUUGCUGAUGUUUGUAAGCCGGAGGGGCAACUCCGGGUCGUGUGGUAGGGUGUCGACUAGGGUCGCUUGGGUGGCAGAGUAGUCGGCCAGUUGGGGUGCAGCCUCGGGGCCGGUGUGUUUGUAUGGCUCGUUGUAUCAGUUUUCAGCCACUUUUCCUUAUUAACUGGCCAAUUCUCUUCUUAUAUAUGAGAAGGCAGAGCUCCUUGGUUGCUCGAAGAAAAGAAAAAAUUCUCUUUUCAGCUGCUAAUUUCAAUGUGAAGAGCAACGCGUGAUAAUGAGUAAUGAUGGUACCUUCAACACCACAGUUCCAGCUAAAAUUAUCAUUGCAUCCAUCACGCCCACCUUCUCCAUUAGCAUCGUUGUGCUAUAUAAUUUUGGUCAAACAGAAAGCAUAUUAACAUAGACACCACUACUUGUAUAGAAGGACCUUAACUUUAUAGUGUUUUGGUAAUACUCGAGUUACCUUUAAGUUGUAUGAAACAAGGUCACAUAAGGUGAACCCAUCAUGUGCUAUUAUAAAGUUCACACCAUGAUGAGGCUUCCGCUGGUUCACCUGCCAAUCAAUAUCACAUCAAAACUUGAUUUUACACGUCGUCCUGUUUUGAACUAUGUAAUCCUAAAUCUUCCACAUAAAAAGAAGUCCCAAAGCUUAUUCACAGAGGCUCCUAACACCUCCAUACAUAGAGAACUGGUUUAAAUUUCGAAAUGACAUCUCCAACAAUAUUCAGAGUACAGCCAAUACCGUUAAGCAUUUGGGUGGAUCUUGCAGGAAUUAAUCAGAAUGAGCAUUGAAAACAGUGCAAUUAGAAUUGCGUACAAAAUAAAUUUGGAGGUUGCAUAUGUUAAUAGCAUAAGCUGCACCCUGAUGACACUAUGGAAAUAGCAAGUGUAUAGUUUCAACUUUCAACAACACUGAAGGCUUGAGCUCAGGAAUUUCUUUGUCGCAAACACACACAUAAUUGUGUGUUUCCUGUAUUUAGCUUAGGAAUUUACAAAUACUUUAAAAACUACUACAAAACAUCAAGAAACAGGGCUCCAAAAGAAAGUAUGUUUAGUGAUGAUAUAACCAAGCAAGGAAAAUCUUCAACUGAUGGAUAAAAAGGCAGGCAGGGAAAGAGCGCAUCUGAACAAAAUACCUGGUAGAGAUCAGCAGAUCCAGACACACGAGUUGCCAACACCCCCUUCAUACCAGGGUCACCCUGCAAAACCCCUCAAAAUUAGCAGCAUUCAAUCAUUCAUCAGUGCUUGCAGAAAUAAAAUUGGAAAUAUAACAAAGAAAGUAAUCAGGACAAACUCUUUUGCAGAAGUGCACUCUAAAUUCAGAUCAAACGUUAUCAAAAUCCACUGAUGCUAAAAAGGAAAUAUCUUGGUGUUGUAGGUCUUUGAUAAUUUAGUUAUGAUUGAUUCAAAGACAUUAUGCUAUGGAAAGCAUGAGUGAGUAGAAGCAACAGCAGUCCAUGGAAAAUUGGGUCAGUAAAUUUGAACAGGCCGAGAAGCCUCAUACAUUCUUGAAAAUUCUAUAUUCUUCUGUGGUAAUAUUUCUCUCUUUUAGCUGUUCUGGCCUUUUUUAUCUUUCUGAGUUUUAUAUCUAUAACUUGGUUUUGUCAAUAUAAAUAUAAGAUAGAGGAUACUUAAUUUUUCGCCACAACAAAAAGGUCAUGAACAGAACCAUCUAAUGAUCUGUCUUGAGAAUAUACGGAAACGAUCGGGAAUUUGGAGAAUGGUAAAGAUCAGGAUCGGGAUUUAGCAAACAGUACCUUGAUGAACCUUCGAAGAUCGUCUCUGUACUUUCCAUUCCAUUCAGCCCACCUACAAGAACAUUUGAUUAUAUCUUAGAAAUAUUGGCAAUAUUCACCAACAACAUUGAAACGUAUUCAGCUCUUCAUAUAUUUGAAAUUACCGGCAGCAAGUUUAGGCAACAAAAGGGACCACCAUAUGAAAAGGAGUGCAGUUGUUAAGUACUCCCUCCGUCCCAAAAUAUAAGAGCGUUUUUGACACUACACUAGUGUUAAGAACGCUCUUAUAUUAUGGGACGGAGGGGGUAAUUUAUAAAUGAUCAUCGGAGCAUUACAUCAGCUAUGUUAGAAUAACAACAACUCUUUGUGCUACAUUAUCAUCGCAGUGUAAAAAUAGUUUAGUGCUAAACAGGAAACAAAAGUAAGAAAAAUAUACAUAUCCAGCAAUUUCAAUACACAUAGUGCAAAAUUACCUGUCCCAGUUAGGGAAACGCCCUACUAGAUAAAGACCUCCACAAUCCCAAGGUUCAGCAAUUAUCUUGCAUCGAGAUAACACAGAAUCUUUGGCAAUUUCCUGUGACCAGCAAAAUAAACAAUGAGAUAAAAUAACAACAAACAUCAUAGGCUGAUAAUUCUACAAAAAACACUAAUGUAGGCUAUCAGAUGAACAUUGCAGUCUUGAGAAGGUGUGAUAUAUCAUUUGCAAUUUCAUAAAUGUAAGGGGGCAUUCAAAAGGUCACACAUUCAUAGGACCCUCAGGUUCCUCUAAAUCUACUUCAUUAAUGAAGAGCUGAAUAUCUGAUGAUGAAAUUUUGCAUGAUUGCACUAAAUAUCUGCCCGACAAAUAGUUCAACAACUGAGAAAGAGAAAGCAAAUACGGCAUACAAUGUAGUGAAGUCCAUAAAUUUCAAGGUGGCAUUGGUUCAUGUGAAUUCAUUAGGUCACAAUUUGUAUCCGAUCAACCAUAGUAAGAUAUGGACAAUAGUUGAUGUAAGAACUUAUGUCUUGUGUUUUAUGAUAUCAAUGAACUUCACUUGAUUAAAAAGAGGAAAAUUGUAUCUCUGAUUUGAAGUUAAACACUAAAGUUCUGCAACUAUAAAAUUACCCUGAUGAGUGGAGGAGCAUCAAGAGGACUACCAUCUGGUCCACGACAAAGAACACUUGCAAGGUCAAACCGAAAUCCAUCUAUGUGAUACUCCUUAACCCUUGAAGCAUCAAAUAGUCAUGCAAAUAAGAAAACAUACUUAAAAUAUGAUGAAUUCUUUGAAAAAGAGAUCAUACGAAAAUACUUGGUCUGAAUUUUGUAUCAAGAUAUGAAUGAACUACUACAGUGCAGUUUUCUUGAUCCUUUGGCUGCCUUGCACUAAUACAUUUAAUAUAGGAUUUGUCAGUGCAUACAAUACUUUGAUAAGGAGAUCCCUAGCGACGUCACUCGUUCAAGGUUGAAAAUACUUAGUCGGUCCACUCACAAGGCACAAGAGUCACCCACCUAGACUCCCAUGAGAAUUGGUUGCUACCUGAUGCUUCUACACCAUGUCUUGGGUAUGGACCGGACAUCAUGGGUACCAAGGAGUAAGGAAACAAGAAUGAUUGGCAAGCGAGGCUCAGUCUGGAGGCACAGCAAGCAACCGGUCCAACCAGAAACUCAGUGUGGGUUAGACAGGUCACACGUUUUUUUGGUCUAGCCUGUUCCGAUCGAACUGGCUCCUAUUCACUUCGCUGGUGUGAGUGGGUAUAGAAGCAGAAGCCCACCUCUUUUAAGAACAAAUGGAAGUCAUGAGCUUCGCUCCCCUCCUAUGGUUACAGCUUCCAUGUCACCCUAGGAUUGGGAGUUCCGGAGUUUCCCCACCAAUGUUUUUGUUCCAUGUGCAAGAACCAUUUGUUGGGUGAGUUCUUUCUCAAAGGCUAUGACAUUGACACUUGUUGCUGGCAUCAAUUGCUCAAGCAACUCGAGUCAUCCAUUCCCAUUGCCUGAAGGCCAGGCCUCCCCGUAUAUUAACUGAAGAAGUCAAGUGACCUCAUCAACUAUAACGUGUCACAACCCAGAUGAUUUGAUGGCUAUGAAUUAAUGUGUGCAGUGUGUACUGCAACAUAGAGGUAGUUUUCAGUAAUUUCAGUCUAUCAGUAUCAUCUUGAUUUGAUCAUAUAGAUCCGACAGUUCAAUUCCACAUGCAUAUUUAUUUACUUGUUAGCACUUGAUUGUGAGAGUGGAACACAGGUAUAAACAGGUGCUGUCGAAGCAUUGACUAUACUGAUUAUGAAGACUAAAGAAAUGAUCAACAUGAAGACAGAAAUAUGCAUAAACUAAAAUGCAGUUGCUUGAAGUAUAGAACAACAUGCAAGUUGUGCAUACCAAUGUCUCAAGCUGUCGAGUACGAGUUCCAUGACAACAGGAUGGUUGCAGUUUAGUGUAUUCCCUGGAUUAAACCAAUUAUACUGUUAACACUUAGGAGCAGACACAAGUUCCACUUACUUGAAAUUUUAAAUGUACCAGAAUAUUAAGUACCUAGCCAUCUAAAUGUUAUAUCAACCAGAUAAUUAAGCAGGCUUCCAAUAUAUUUUUUUAACAAGGUUUCCUUAUAGGUAGCAAUGUGGCAGUCUCACAUCAAUGCAUGGGUUGAGAAAUAUAGUGGCUGCAGCCAAAUAAUGACCAGGUGACCACUCUUAACCCUUCUACCAGUCAAUAUAGCACCUAACAUGGCUGCAAGGUUCAGUCUGAUGGCAUGACGAAGAUAAUAAACAUAGAUUGAAUCAACAUUCAUCAUUUGAAAUACAUCACAACAAAGUAGCAGCCAGAUAUGCAGUUUAUUUGCCUAGAAGCACACAAUCGCAAGAUAAAUUAGCAAGGUACAUGGUUAGUAAGCGGAUCAGCAAAACAAGAUACAUUAACAUCCUUAAAGCCGGAGCAACAAAGAACAUACAAAGCAUCAGGUAGCACCCUAGAACAUGUUCACCUAUUACAAGCACGUCACAAACAAUCAAGUAACAGAAGUUCAGGAAUCAUGGUUUUACCGCAUCCCGAGAAGUUCAGCAGUUGAGAGUUGUUCUUUGGAUCUAACAUGUAAUAAACCUGCAUGAAUGAAAGUAGUGUUUUUGGUAUAAAUUCAUGUAAAACCUGAAGCAGGUGUACACUUCUAAACACUUUGGGGUUUAGAACAGAUUAACUUAACCUGGUCACAAAUUGUACUUAGCCUUCUAAGACCAGUGACUGUCUGACCCAUUAUAAAAUAACAGGUCAAAAGGGUGGAGUGAGCAAACCCAUACACAAAUUCUGAGUUAAGCAGCCCUAUUCCGAUUCUAACCUAGUUCUUUUCAACCCGGAACAAAACACAGCCUACACAUUAGAACUAAGAAAAGAUAGAGCGACAAGCAGAUAGGUGCCUUCGUCGGCUAUAACUCAAAUAGAUAAAUCACCUUGUUGUCGAUGCCACGGAAAGAAGUAACAUAAGGAUUAGCAUCAUCUGCUUCAUUCGUAUGGUUGUAAACGACGUCCAGAAUAACCUAUACAAAAUGAUGAUACCAUUAAACACAUGUUCUCAUGUGGGAUGGAUAAGAAUGCUACAAUAGGUUGCCAUAUCUACUGGAUGUCAAUACCUCUAUACCAGCUUUAUGCAAUGCCUUGACCAUCUGCUUGAGCUCUCUGGAAGCAGCCAAUGGUCCACCACCAGCACUUGCAUAGCGGGUCAUGGGAGCAAAAAAAUUGAUUGUAGAAUAACCCCAUGUAUUGACCUUCCAAUUGAGAAGAUGAAAAGUCAUUCCACAAUUGAUUCCACUGAUGAACCAUAAUGAUGACAUCAUGCACAAAGUGGCAUAUCAGAAUUUUUACCAUGUGGUCCCUUGGGUUAGGGUACCUCUUGAACUCCAGCUCAUCAAACUCAAAAACAGGUAGCAACUCCACUGCAUUAACUCCGAGUUCAAGCAAAUGCGGGAUCUACAAAACCACAACUAUUGCAUGCAUAAGUCAUUAAACAAUAGGCUUGAAGCCUUGAACACUGAAACCUAAUAUGCAUAUCAGGUUCCCAAAACUAGAUCACUAAAAUAAUAGUGGGAAUAUAUUUAUUUCGCUAAUAACUUCCCGUAAGGACCAAACAAAUAAUUGUGGUCACAAGCCACACAAUAAGAAGAAAUUAAAACUUACUUUGUCGAUGAAUCCUAGAUAGCUUCCACGAACAGCUGGAUCAAGCCCACUUGACUCAUCCGCAGUGAAAGCGCGAACGUUCAUUUCAUAUAUAACUAGAUCUGUCUAGAUUAAAGAACAGAAGAAAAGCAGUGAACUUCAUGUUUGGGAUGCUUUCUGCAUUUCUUCUAUGAAAUGAUUCUAGUACCUCAGGCAAAUUUGGAAGCUGGUAGUCAGCACCCCAGUCAAAAGGAGAGCUAUCAAAAUCAUAUGUUCCAAAAGGCUGGCUGGGCCCUUUAUCAAGCCCAAAGUAAUUUCGACCAGAAACUAGUUUCGCGUAAGGGUCAAGAAGAACAAUGUUGCUAUCAAACCUAUGGCCUUGUUCCCAUCCUUGAGGACCAUUAACACGAUAUCCGUAAAGAACUCCAGAAGUGGGCAACCCCUGAAAGUACAGUUAUAGAAGGCUUCAUUCAGCAUAUAUACAACAACAACAACAACAACAACAACAACAAAGCCUUUAGUCCCAAACAAGUUGGGGUAGGCUAGAGGUGAAACCCAUAAGAUCUCGCAACCAACUCAUGGCUCUGGCACAUGGAUAGCAAGCUUCCAUGGGAAAAUAAAUAGAAGCAAAAUAGGCACAGAUUUCUCCUCCUAACAAUAAAUAUUGUAAAGAACAUAAGGAUGUGUUUUCAGCCAAGACCAAAAGAGAACAUAAUGAUUUCUCCUCCCAACAAUAAUAUUGUAAAGAACAUAAGGAUAUGUUUUUCAGCCAAGACCAAAAAGAUAGAUGUGUAACAUGCUGGAAGCUUUUUUAUUUAAGGGUUUUUCUCCCCGAUUUCAUCCAGAAACCACAAAAAUCCUUGCAGUAAACUGAAAGAUGCUAGAAGUGACACAGUGAGAUAGCCAAAGUUAUGAGCCUGCACUACUCAGCAGUGCAUUUUGUUUCUUUUUAUGAAUGAGUUAACGUGAUAAGACCAGUGCUUUCAAAAUAUAUGAUUCUCAUAAAAUUAAAUCUUGUUUUGAAGAAUAUGUAAUACAGAUACACAUGAGACGAAUGAUGGGAUUCUUGUUCCAUAAAUGUCAGCCACACCAAGUUGUCAAUAUUCAAAAGAAUAAUGCCUUAUCUUCAAAGGUACAGAUAACAUCAAAGCUUCAUAAGAAUACCUCCACCGACACAUGCCAUAUAUCUCCAGUUUUGUUCUUCUGGCAAUCUAAAGCAAACUCCACAGCCUUUUCACUUUCUUCAUCCUUGGUUCCUCUGCAGGGUAAUCCAGUAUGUCAGACGAUGAGACAAAUCAUAUUUCGUUGUAAAGAGAAUGUGAGAUGAACAAGCUAAAGCACAAUGCUGAUCAGCAAAAGGUUAUUUCAACCAGGCCAACACCCCAGAUCAACUAACAAAAUGUCAACCUGGGAAACAAAUAAACAUCGUUUUGUGCACGAUCUGCAACAUACACAAACAGUUGAUCAAAGUGCGACAUAUGGAUGUGUUUUGGCUUUAUGAACAACUUGUUUUGCGGAAAACCAGGAUUCACGAGUCCUGGCCUAAAAGGCAAAAACCGUUAACUUAAAUGACACUGAAAGCAAGAAAACCACACAAUUUAGGAAAGAUUGUCUAUACCUCUCAGGAAGCUUGAUGCAGAGGGUGACAGAAGAAGCAUGUUGAGAGAAAAUCGCGAAGUUCAGACCACUUUCAUCCUGUGACACUCCUAGAGGGGAUGCUUUGCCGGAAGAAUAUUUCAAGGGCAUUUCGGUACCCGCCAUUGCGCUUUCCCUUUCCUGGCGGUGUUACAGAAUGAACAUACACUUGAGCCAAAAUAACAUGAUACAGAAUGAGGAAUAAGAAUACGCAGCAUCAUACAGUUGAUAAAUACAAACAUAUUCGCUUAGUGUGAGGUUUUACCAGGACGAUAGCUCACGACAUGCCAAAUGACCACGAAUGUGUAUCAAACAAACAGUUCAGUAGACUGGUAGCUAAAUGGAUCGACGAACAAAUACAGUGCUAUAGUAUAACCAUACAGGGCAUGAACACUUAGUGCGGUGCGAUACCUCGGUCACAAUUCUCCCAGCAUUACCAGUCUGUGCUCUCGCCAAGGUACUCCGCACGGACCCAAAUCGCUGCGCCUGCACCACGACAAAAUCCACUCGGAUCAAUCCACCAAUUAGAGUUGAUGCAUGGAGGUAGACCGCGAAAAACAAAGGUACGAAAUCGAGACACCUGCCUUUCCGAAUUGCCCUCCUCCGCAGCCGGGCGCGACCCCAAGCCUGCUCGCCGCUACACUGCACGGGAACCUCGACCAAACACACGCACAUCAUUCAGAGCGGCAGAUUGAACGGCACGAGAACGACAAAAUGCAGCGCGGCGAAACGAGGCCGCGCGAACGGAGAGGGAAAAAAAGGGAAACCCACCGGUUCGGAAGCGCGGGGCGGACGGAGCUGCUGCUUCGGCGUGCGGUGGCGGUGGCGGCGGCGGCGGGACGCAGCGGGGAGCGAUUUGUAGAGGCCGCCGAAUCCAUCCAAAUGCGGGGGUGGUGGGACGGGUAGCGGGAGGGAUUUGGCUCGGGACCGGGGCUUAGUUAUAGGGGCUCGUGGACAGGGUCAUGGGGCGGCUCGCGAGGUCGAGGGAGUGGAGCGGCGAUGGGGAGCGCAAGUCGGAGCAGGAGGAGAAGGAUGCGGUGAUCUCACCUCGGGGAGGGCGCGCGGAGGAAUGGGGGCGCGGGGGCGACGGAGAUGGGUGGUGGACACGUGGUGUCGCAUGCGCGGGGCGGGGGCGGCGGAUAGGGGAGUGGACGGAGGACCUUGGCUCCCUUCCGGCCCCGACGUGUGGUGUCGUCUCGUCAUGUGCUUUCCAUACAACAGUUACCGGUAGUCUCAAUAUCUCAAUAGAUGAGAAACGGUCGAACUCACGGACAGAACCUUGCUUUAUCGAAAAAUCUGAAAAUGAUUAUCUACACUACCUAUUAAAAAGCAAACCAAAUCUUCUCUAACACACCCACAAAAUGUACAUCGGAUCAAUUACCACCGCAUGAUUAGACUCACUAAAUAAAUCUAGGGAUUGUCUAAUUGACAUCUGACUGUUUUCCUUUUUGAAAACAUUCAAAUUUCUUGUCCAAUGACAAUGUUACAGCUGUACUACCAGGACAGUCAUCAAAAAAGGAGAAAAACAACACGCUAACGGGUCCGGCAACCAUCCGACCCGCUUUCUCCAGGAAAACAAGACCUCCACCUAUUCAGGGACCACAAACAGUACUCCCUGGAAGCUUGCAAACCACGCAACAUGUCAAAAACGCUAUACAAAACCCCCACCUUCAGAAAAAACGCUAGACAGAUCUUACCUAACCGGAUCUAGCGACACCCAUGGGAAAGGGAGAGGCGACCAUGACAGAUCGGGGAGGAGGAGAGCUCCCAGGAAGAGAAGAACGAAGAGGAAACGCACAUAUCACAAACGGGGAUGAAUCUGCUGAUCACGAAAAAGCUGAAGACCAUGAUCCACAGGUCAGUAACUCCUCUGCAUCAUCUCUUCUUUUCACCCCCUCUUAUGUCUCUUACGUUGACAGUUUCACAAAGAUUUUCCUUCGAUCUACUCUGAAACAUAGGAGAGAGAUCAACAUCAGAACCACAACAAAAAUUGCACUGUAAAUUCCUCUAAAAAUCACUAUGUAACUAGUCUUGUAUCCUCUAAAUUUACAGUGUAACUUUCUCUUAAAUUCCAGAGUAAAAGUAGUUGCAAACAAAAUGAAGUAAUUACAAAAAUGCAAGAACAUAUACACUACAAAAAACACAGUAAGUACAGUGAAAAAAACGUCCUAAAAUUCCACAGUAAAAAUAGUUGCAAACAAAAAGAAGUAAUUACAGAGCAAAGAACAUAGUAAAUUACAGUACAAAAAACACAGUAAGUACACUGUAAAUUCCUCAUAAAAACGCAGUAAGUACACAGAAAAGUACCUGUAAAUUCCUCCUAAAUCCCAGAGUAAACUACUAGUUACAGACAAAAUGCUUGAAAUUGCAGACAAACUAGUCACAUAGUAAGCCAGAUUCAGUGAAAAAAAAAGCUAGAGAAAUACAGAGUAAAACAUGUCAAAAACUAGACAUCAAAUUGCACUGUAAGUACGCGAGAAAUUAGAAUGUAAAAAAUACAUUGAAGCUACCUAGAAAAUCCACUGUAAAAUGCUUGGUAGCUGAUGCUUCUUACUGUAGUAUUGCAUUUUUCAGUAACAUGUCAUACAACAUUCAAAUUUUACUCUGAUGCUAUCUUGAAAAUUACAGAGCAAUACCAAAAUUUACUGUGAUUCUUCUUUCAUUUAAUUCUUAGGGAAAAUUUACAUUGAAAGUACACGAGAAAUUACACUGAAAAAAUGCACUAGAAAAAUGCAGUGUAAAACCCCCUCAUGAUUGUGUUCUUUCUAUUGUUAUGUUCUUUGUUGCUCAUCAUUAUGUUAACACUGACAUUGUACUGUCCAAAAUGUUUAAGGAGAGGACCAUGAUGAGGGUAGUGAUUGAAGAGGAUCUACUGAGAUUAUCACAGGAAGAACUCAUACUGAAUGUGAGAUGCAAUUGCAAAUACUUCUUUUAAUAUACAUAAAAGGGUAAAAAGCUAACACAAUGAUCAUGCAGGAAUCAUUUUCUUUCACUGCGCUCCUUCAUUCCGACAUUAUAUACAAGGUAAACAUCUAAAAAUCAUUAAAUACACAGUACAUUUCAGGUGAUGGUUAAAAAAAACUUGUGAUGAACCUUGCAGGUACAUUCAGCAGAUGGAUCUACGAACAUUGCCAAAACUAUGUACGAAAACUCCAGGAGCAAAACAAAGGACAGUAUCAUCACAACAAAUGAUGACCAUGUAAGCAGAACUACAUCUGAAUAACUAUUACAAAAGAAAAUGCCGAAUAAAAACACACUAACAAUCAUUAAACUUACUUUGCAGACACUGGAGGCAGACUUGCAUCAAGAAAUGCCAGUGGCCGAAGAUGGAGCAGGAGAAUCCGAUCCAUGGGACACAAACCUGAACGACAACAUCAAUCUGCAACAGGUACACACCACAAAAUUCAGAAAAAAGAAGAAGCACAUAACGUUUCAGAAGAAAAGUAACUAAAAAUAAAAAUCCCUAAAUGUUGCAGGAGCCUAAAGAAGUUGAUCCCAGUGGAGCAGCGGCUAACACGAACUCUAGUACAGGCAGGGAUGAAGGAGAAAGAAAAGAACCAGAACACUCACUAGAAACAAGAGGGAGAAGAUGAAUUCCUCGACGAAGAAGACAUUGAAAGAUUCCUGCAAAAUGAACAAGAAGCUGCGUCAGAGGGAAAUCUGAUGAACACUAGCAGUAAUUUCAAGCCUCAAUUAGGCAUGCAGUUCAAAACAAAGGAAGAAGCUCAGGAAUAUUUCAAUUUCUACUCGAAAGUGGCAGGAUUUUCAGUGGCUACAGUAGCAAUCUCAAGAACAUCAAGCAAAAAAAGGAACAAUGAGGUGACAAGGAUCACUAUGAAGUGCAACAAGUGGGGCAAGACAAAAGAAAUAGAUAAGGAAUGCAUAGUGCCCAUGAGAAAAUCUACAGUCAUAGCUAAAACAGAUUGUAAAGUCAUCAUGGUCAUAUCAGAAAAAGGAGGCAUGUGGGAAAUCACAAGACAACAACUAGAACACAACCAUGAGUUAACACCAAACAGUAGAUUCUUCAGGUCACAUAAGUACAUGUCGGAUGAAGAGAAGUGCUUGAUAAGGGUGUUGAAGCAUACAAACCUGGAAACAAGAAGGAUUGUAGCUGUCUUGGCUUACUUGAGAGGAGGAAUGGCUCAUCUUCCCUACACAAAGAAACAUGUCACAAACUCUGCAGCAACAAUUAACAGAGACAUCACAAACUCUGACAUGAUGGAAGUAGUGCAAAUGUUCAACAAGAAACAAACAGAAAAUCCUGGCUUUUGCUACUCGUUUGAGCUAGAUGGAGAGAAUAAAGUGAGGAGCUUAUUCUGGACAGAUGUGAGGUCAAGAAUGAUGUAUGACGUAUGUGGAGAUUGCAUCAGUUUUGACACUACAUUCCUAACAAACACGUACAACUUGCCAUUUGCACCCCUUGUUGGCAUAUCCCCACAUGGCAACACAUACUUGUUUGCUUGUGCAUUCAUCGUCAAUGAGACAAAAGAAACAUUUGCUUGGUUGUUCGAACAAUUCCUGAUGGCUAUGGGAGGAAAGCAUCCUAUAUCAAUCAUUACAGACCAAGACAAGGCAAUGCAAGCAGCAAUUGAAAAAGUCUUUCCUAAUGCUACCCAUAGGAGCUGCCUCUUCCACAUAAAGAAGAAGGCAGAGGAAAAAGUCGGGCCCUGCUUCCAAGCUAAUGAGGGACUCUAUGAAGACUUCCAGGACAUUGUGGACAACUCCUUGACAGUUGAAGAAUUUGAAACACAAUGGCAAGAAAUGAUAGAAAAAUACCAAGUUCAUCACAUCAAGUACUUCAACGACAUGUGGGAAAACAGGAAAAAGUUCAUCCCUGUGUACUUCAAGGACAAAUUCUUCCCAUUCAUACAAACUACAGCAAGAAGCGAAGGGACGAAUUCCCUUUUCAAAAAAGGGGUUGGAGCUAAAUUUAGUGCUACUAGAUUUUUGAGAGAGUAUGACCGGAUACUUGAUGUUGUGCAUGACAGGGAAGAAGAAUGCGACCAUGUUAGUAGAAACAAGAAAGUUGCACAGAAAGCAUUUUGGUCAAAAUACAGCAUAGAAAGGCAAGCACAUGAGCUAUACAACAUUGGAAUAUUCAGGAAAUUCCAGUUUAAAAUGGCAGACACAACAAGGCUGCAUGUCUUUGAGCAAGAAAAGGACAAAUACUACAUUGUGACACAAGCUGAAAACUACCCCCAAAAGGAAAUCCGGAAAAGAGAAGAACAAUAACAAGACUUACAGCAAAAGCGUAGUGACAACCGCCAAACGUCACUGAUCUUUUGGAAGCAACUUUAGUGGAAUCCUUGAACUUUUUUAUGCAACUCAACAGCCACUCAUAAACAAAUUUUGACAGAUCAUAGUUACGCACAGAAGGACAAUCCCGGAAGAUGUGAAGGUACUUUGGGCUAGGACUGAGGCUAGAGUUGGGACAAAGGAAUGAUGAAAAAGCAACAAUCAUGAAACAGAUAAAGACAUCUUCAUCAGGCAACCCGACUGUGGUUGAUUUUAGCUUGUUAGCAAAGAAGGACACGGGAGGAAUACUGGUCAAGUUGAAGUGAGAGAGGAUAAAAUCACGGCCGGAUUCAGCAUCACACACAAGUGGCUCACCAUCUACUGGAAGGUCGAGGAUGUCAUGAAUAUCAUACUUGGUCAUUGGGAUAAAUUUCUUUUUGAGCUGGAAUUCAGAUGAAAGGACAUCAAACCUACUGGCGAGCCACUUCACUAACCUAAGGGGCACCUCGGUCCUAACAAACUCUAAGAGACAGCCCAUGCCAUAUCUCUGGACAACAUCUCGAUACCUAGAACAUAAACCAUCAACAACACCAGAGAAGAACUUCCCAGAAUAUCUAGUGAAAGUAGCACAAGUAGGGUAAUCGCUAGAGCUUUUCUGCCUCUACAAAAACAACAAAAGAGAAACACCAUAUCAACCACUCAAAAUAAUUACUUCGCAUUACUAUUACUAAGUACAAAAAAUACUUUACAAAUACAUCAAAAAAUACAGCUACUAAAAUAAUUGGACUUACACUAGAAAAUAACAAAAACAAUAUGAGUGAAAACACAUAUCAAACCAGUCAAAAAAUAGCUUUAGAUUACUAUUACUUAGUACAAAAAGAACAUUGCAAUACAUUGAAAAAAUGCAGUUACUAAUAAUUGGACUAACACUACAAAAAAAUUCAUUAAGAUAGAACUUCAAGCAUUUUUCUUCCAGAAAGUAAAAAUUGCUGAAAACAAAAAAGAAAAUAGGAACUAACCACAUUCCUCCUUGAAGCAGAUGAUAAUUUCCUCUUGAGGCAUUUUACUUUCUGAAAACAUAACAAAAACACAACUAUCACGCAUCAGAAAAAAAUGUAAAAAAAUGAAACAAGAAUGAAAAGUCCUAGAUAAAAUAAAACAUACUCGGUUAAGAUAGAACUUCAGAAGAGCUUUGUCAAGCCCUCCUUCGUCACCAGAUAAUUCCUGCAGAAAAAACCAAUAAAAAAAUAAGACAACCCAAAAAAAAAUGAAGGUCAAAAAACUAAAAUAAAAAGAAGCAGAAAAUAAAUAAAUAAAUACCAUAGACACAGGGAAAGAACCAUCUUCUGCAAAAUCAUUAGGCACAAAUGCUUCACCUCCAGAAUCAGCACUAUCUAAAGAUGAUACUACGGGAACAUCCCAAUGAGAAGCUUUCCGUAGCUUGCCCAUUUAAACCUAAAAAAGGAAAAAACAAAAACAUAAGUAACAGUGAAAAAGCAUCCAAUUAAAACUCAAAAAUACAAUGUAAGUAUACAACAUAAUGCACUGUCAUUACAUUGUAAAAACUAGCACAACUACAUUAUAAGCAUUGGACAAAAAAUAUACUGUAAUUACAAUAUAAACCUAGCACAACUGCACUGUAAGUAUUGAACAAAAUUACACUGUGAUUGCACUGUAAAAACUAGCACAAGUACAAUGUAAAACCUAACAGAAAUUACAUUGUAAGACUAGCACAACUACACUGUGUAUUGGACAAAAAAUACACUGUAAUUACAGUGUAAAACUAGCACAACUACACUGUAAGUAAUGGACAAAAAAAUACACUGUAAUUACAGUGUAAAAACUAGCAGAACUACACUGUAAUUGAACAAUAAAAUAUACUGAGAUUAUACUGUAAAAACUACCACAAUUACAGUGUAAAAACUAACAGAAAUUACACUGUAAGACUAGCACCAUUAUACUGUAAAUGAGUGGAUUUGCAAUGCAAAACUAGCACAACUACACUGUGAGUAUUGGACAAAAAUGCACAGAAAUUACAGUGUAAAACUAAGCACAACUACACUGUAAUAGAACAAAUAAAUACACUGAGAUUACACUGUACAAACUAGCACAAUUACAUUGUAAAAACUACCAGAAAUUACACUGUAAAAGGCUAGCACCAUUAUACUGUAAAUGAGUGCAUUUACACUGCAAAACUACCACAAAAAGAACACUGUAAAACCUAAGAGACAUUACAUUGUAAUACUGGGACAAAAAGGACACAGAAAGUCAGAAAAAUACACUAUAAUUACACUAAAGUGGAUAUACUGAAAGUAUGACAUGAACUACAGAACAAAACAACAACACUCAAAUAUACUUAACCAACAGUCAACACUGGCAUGACACAAAAAAAAAACACUAAAGAAAAUAAACUCAAAAAUCAUGCCAUCCCUAAAAAGUAAACAAUCAUGGCACAAAAUGGGGAUGAAACCCUACAUCUAGCAGGCGAUUCCCAACCUGCAGAAAAAGCUUGACAAGAGCAACAACAAUAGACAACAUAAAAAAAGACGAGAAACGUUACAAGAUGACCAAAAUUCAGAGGCUACAGAAACUACAAACAACAACUCGGUCUUCAGAAACAUCAGCUUUAGGAUCCAUCGCUGAAACCUAUUGCCUACCACGCCUAUUUCCACAUCAACUAUAGGCCACAUAAAAAAAAUACACAUCAACGACGACAAAAACGUACUUGGGAGGGGCAUAACAUUUGGGCUGGGUCCACAACAAAAAUAUAAGACAACGGCAUGGCGCAAACGGUAGCAAUGAAACUCUACAGGACAAGAUGCAGUGAACAAAAAAAUGCCAACUAAUAGGUUGCAAAAACAUAUAUCUGCAAGACAAGAUGCAGUGAGAAAAAGUGGAGAGCAGAACUUCAUGCGCAUACUACAGCCCCUUGAUCUUAGAUACACUCAUAUAAUGGUGGAAAAAACAUAAAAACAAGCGUCAAAAUACAUGAAAGUACACAGCAAACAGGAACAAAAAUACAUAGGGAUGACUUAAUAAACCACUGGGAUGAACAACAUGGGACAAAAACAACACAAAACUAGACAAAAUUCAGGCGUUAUAACCACAACUCGAUCACAGCCACAAGCUACAGGAUCCGCCGCUGAAAACUAACAACAACUCCGCGUACAUCCACAACAUCUACAAAAAAACUAACCUCUGCGCCUACCUACACAUCAACAACUAGAACGCAUGACGGGCGCUCCUCCACAAAAACUGCAGGAACACACAGAUCACGCGCAUGCAAAACUACGGGUGACACAACUAGAUCCUACCAGAUAUCACGCGCGCGCCCAUGGCGAACUAGAACACCACGGCAGCAACAUACACAUCCCGCGAAACCCAAAAAUCACCUAGAUCUAAAGCUACAGGGCCACAAAAAGCAAGGGCAAACGGGCGAGAAGGCAAGGCAACAAACCAGCGCAGCUGCGGGCGACGAGAAUGAAGAGGGUGCCGUCAAAAUCCUGCGGCGGAUGAGCUCCAAAUCGCCAUGAAACUGGGGAAUCGCCUCCAGGAAUCGCCUCGCCCUCCGCCGUCGCUCGACCUCUCACUCCCUCUGCCUUAUCCAAAUGAGAAAGGGGAACGACACCCCGCUCCAAAUUCAAAAGCGACAAAGACCUACAGUGCCCACCGGUUCGGCCGGGUCGAGGAAAAACGGGCGGAUCCAGAAACCGCGCCCGAUAAACAAAACCGACCCGAAAACCAGCGCAAAAAAAGCAGGACCGAGCACGAAUCUCGACGCGAGAUCGAACGGACAGAAAUUCGAACGUCAGCGAAUUACAAAACAGCCGACUGUAAAUUAGCAAAACCGUAAAUCUAACAGCUAACCUUAAUCUAAUCCCUUUUGUAUGUGCGUUUAGCAAUUUUAUUGAGUGGCUGUACUCCACACUAGUCUAAGUUUUUUUACGAGGUACACUAGUUUGAGUUACUCCCCACUAUGGGUAGUCUCAUAGUAUGAGUAUCACACCCCGCAUCGGUAACUCCUACAAUCACGCAGCGCACGCCAUCCGAACUGCCACCAGUUAACCUCUCUUCCUUAAUUAGCGUCUAAUCAAUUCCCAUACGAAACCUCCAUCCAAAAGAGAGAAAUUUACCAAAGAGCAUGCAAGCCGCCCGCCAAUGCAAGAGAAACACCGCCGUCGGGACGCGCGAGGAGCCCGCCUGAGGAGGCAGCUAGAAAUCCUAUUUUGUCAAUGUAGGGGAACGCAGUAAUUUCAAAAAUUUCCUACGCACACGCAAGAUCAUGGUGAUGCAUAGCAACGUGAGGGAAGAGUGUUGUCCACGUACCCUCGUAGACCGAUAGCGGAAGCGUUAACACAACGCGGUUGAUGUAGUCGUACGUCUUCACGAUCCGACCGAUCAAGUACCGAACGUACGGCACCUCCGAGUUCAGCACACGUUCAGCUCGAUGACGUCCCUCAAACUCCGAUCCAGCCGAGUGUUGAGGGAGAGUUUCGUCAGCACGACGGCGUGGUGACGAUGAUGAUGUUCUACCGACGCAGGGCUUCGCCUAAGCACCGCUACGAUAUUAUCGAGGUGUAAUAUGGUGGAGGGGGGCACCGCACACGGCUAAGAGAUCAAUAGAUCAAUUGUUGUGUCUAUGGGGUGCCCCCCGCCCCCGUAUAUAAAGGAGCAAGGGGGGAGGCGGCCGGCCUAGGAGGAGGGCGCGCCAAGGGGGGAGUCCUACUCCCACCGGGAGUAGGACUCCUCCUUUCCUUGUUGGAGUAGGAGAAGGGAAGGGAGAAGGAGAAGGAAGGAAGGGGGCGCCCCCUCCCUAGUCCAAUUCGGACUAGUCCAUGGGGAGGGGUGCGGCCACCCUUUGGGGCCUUUCUCUCCUUUCCCGUAUGGCCCAUUAAGGCCCAAUACGAAUUCCCGUAACUCUCCGGUACUCCGAAAAAUACCCGAAUCACUCGGAACCUUUCCGAUGUCCAAAUAUAGUCGUCCAAUAUAUCGAUCUUUACGUCUCGACCAUUUCGAGACUCCUCGUCAUGUCCCCGAUCUCAUCCGGGACUCCGAACUCCUUCGGUACAUCAAAACUCAUAAUAAAACUGUCAUCGUAACGUUAAGCGUGCGGACCCUACGGGUUCGAAAACUAUGUAGACAUGACCGAGACACGUCUCCGGUCAAUAGCCAAUAGCGGGACCUGGAUGCCCAUAUUGGCUCCCACAUAUUCUACGAAGAUCUUUAUCGGUCAAACCGCAUAACAACAUACGUUGUUCCCUUUGUCAUCGGUAUGUUACUUGCCCGAGAUUCGAUCGUCGGUAUCUUAAUACCUAGUUCAAUCUCGUUACCGGCAAGUCUCUUUACUCGUUCCGUAAUACAUCAUCUUGCAACAAACUCAUUAGUUGCAAUGCUUGCAAGGCUUAAGUGAUGUGCAUUACCGAGAGGGCCCAGAGAUACCUCUCCGACAAUCGGAGUGACAAAUCCCAAUCUUGAAAUACGCCAACCCAACAAGUACCUUCGGAGACACCUGUAGAGCACCUUUAUAACCACCCAGUUACGUUGUGACGUUUGGUAGAACACAAAGUGUUCCUCCGGUAAACGGGAGUUGCAUAAUCUCAUAGUCAUAGGAACAUGUAUAAGUCAUGAAGAAAGCAAUAGCAACAUACUAAACGAUCGAGUGCUAAGAUAACGGAAUGGGUCAAUUCAAUCACAUCAUUCUCCUAAUGAUGUGAUCCCAUUAAUCAAAUGACAACUCAUGUCAAUGGCUAGGAAACAUAACCAUCUUUGAUCAAUGAGCUAGUCAAGUAGAGGCAUACUAGUGACACUCUGUUUGUCUAUGUAUUCACACAUGUAUCAAGUUUCCGGUUAAUACAAUUCUAGCAUGAAUAAUAAACAUUUAUCAUGAUAUAAGGAAAUAAAUAAUAACUUUAUUAUUGCCUCUAGGGCAUAUUUCUUCAGUCUCCCACUUGCACUAGAGUCAAUAAUCUAGUUCACAUCGCCAUGUCAUUUAACAUCAAUAGUUCACAUCACCAUGUGAUUAACACCCAUAGUUCACAUCGUCAUGUGACCAACACCCAAAGGGUUUACUAGAGUCAGUAAUCUAGUUUACAUCGCUAUGUGAUUAACACCCAAAGAGUACUAAGGUGUGAUCAUGUUUUGCUUGUGAGAUAAUUUUAGUCAACGGGUCUGUCACAUUCAGAUCCGUAAGUAUUUUGCAAAUUUCUAUGUCUACAAUGCUCUGCACGGAGCUACUCUAGCUAAUUGCUCCCACUUUCAAUAUGUAUCUAGACCGAGACUUAGAGUCAUCUAGAUUAGUGUCAAAACUUGCAUCGACAUAACCCUUUACGACGAACCUUUUGUCACUUCCAUAAUCGAGAAACAUAUCCUUAUUCCACUAAAGAUAAUUUUGACCGCUGUCCAGUGAUCUACUCCUAGAUCACUAUUGUACUCUCUUGCCAAAAUCAGUGUAGGGUAUACAAUAGAUCUGGUACACAGCAUGGCAUACUUUAUAGAACCUAUGGCCGAGGCAUAGGGAAUGACUUUCAUUCUUUUUCUAUCUUCUGUCGUGGUCGGGCUUUGAGUCUUACUCAAUUUCACACCUUGUAACACAGGCAAGAAACUCUUUCUUUGACUGUUCCAUUUUGAACUACUUCAAAAUCUUGUCAAGGUAUGUACUUAUUGAAAAAACUUAUCAAGCAUCUUGAUCUAUCUCUAUAGAUCUUGAUGCUCAAUAUGUAAGCAGCUUCACCGAUGUCCUUUCUUUGAAAAACUCCUUUCAAAUACUCCUUUAUGCUUUGCAGAAUAAUUCUACAUUAUUUCCGAUCAACAAUAUGUCAUUCACAUAUACUUAUCAGAAAUGCUGUAGUGCUCCCACUCACUUUCUUGUAAAUACAGGCUUCACCGCAAGUCUGUAUAAAACUAUAUGCUUUGAUCAACUUAUCAAAGCGUAUAUUCCAGCUCCGGGAUGCUUGCACCAGUCCAUAGAUGGAUCGGUAGAGCUUGCAUAUUUUGUUAGCACCUUUAGGAUUGACAAAACCUUCUGGUUGCAUCAUAUACAACUCUUCUUUAAUAAAUCCAUUAAGGAAUGCAGUUUUGUUUAUCCAUUUGUCAGAUUUCAUAAUCAUAAAAUGCGGCAAUUGCUAACAUGAUUCGGAUAGACUUAAGCAUCGCUACGGGUGAGAAGGUCUCAUCGUAGUCAAUCCCUUGAACUUGUCGAAAACCUUUUGCAACAAGUCAAGCUUUAUAGACAGUAACAUUACCGUCAGCGUCAGUCUUCUUCUUGACGAUCCAUUUAUUUUCAAUGGCUUGCCGAUCAUCGGGCAAGUCAACCAAAGUCCAUACUUUGUUCUCAUACGUGGAUCCCAUCUCGGAUUUCAUGGCCUCAAGCCAUUUUGCGGAAUCUGGGCUCACCAUCGCUUCUUCAUAGUUUGUAGGUUCGUCAUGGUCUAGUAACAUAACCUCCAGAACAGGAUUACCGUACCACUCUGGUGUGGAUCUUACUCUGGUUGACCUACGAGGUUCAGUAAUAACUUGAUCUGAAGUUUCAUGAUCAUCAUCAUUAACUUCCUCACUAAUUGGUGUAUGCGUCGCAGAAACUGGUUUCUGUGAUGAACUACUUUCCAAUAAGGGAGCAGGUACAAUUACCUCAUCAAGUUCUACUUUCCUCCCACUCACUUCUUUCGAGAGAAACUCCUUCUCCAGAAAAAUUCCGAAUUUAGCAACAAAAGUUUUUCCUUCGGAUCUGUGAUAGAAGGUGUACCCAACAGUUUCCUUUGGGUAUCCUAUGAAGACACAUUUCUCCGAUUUGGGUUCGAGCUUAUGAGGUUGAAGUUUUUUCACAUAAGCAUCGCAGCCCCAAACUUUAAGAAACCACAACUUUGGUUUCUUGCCAAACCACAGUUCAUAAGGCGUCGUCUCAACGGAUUUUGAUGGUGCCCUAUUUAACGUGAAUGCAGCCGUCUCUAAAGCAUAACCCCAAAACGAUAGCGGUAAAUCAGUAAGAGACAUCAUAGAUCGCACCAUAUAUCUAGUAAAGUACGAUUACGACGUUCGGACACACCAUUACGCUGUGGUGUUCCGGGUGGCGUGAGUUGCGAAACUAUUCCGCAUUGUUUCAAAUGAAGACCAAACUCAUAACUCAAAUAUUCUCCUCCACGAUCAGAUCGUAGAAAUUUUAUUUUCUUGUUACGAUGAUUUUCAACUUCACUCUGAAAUUCUUUGAACUUUUCAAAUGUUUCAGACUUAUGUUUCAUUAAGUAGAUAUACCCAUAUCUGCUCAAAUCAUCUGUGAAGGUGAGAAAAUAACGAUAUCCGCCACGAGCCUCAAUAUUCAUCGGACCACAUACAUGUGUAUGUAUGAUUUCCAACAAAUCUGUUGCUCUCUCCAUAGUUCCGGAGAACGGUGUUUUAGUCAUCUUGCCCAUGAGGCAAGGUUCGCAAGCAUCAAGUGAUUCAUAAUCAAGUGAUUCCAAAAUCCCAUCAGCAUGGAGUUUCUUCAUGCGCUUUACACCAAUAUGACCUAAACGGCAGUGCCACAAUUAAGUUGCACUAUCAUUAUUAACUUUGCAUCUUUUGGCUUCAUUAUUAUGAAUAUGUGUAUCACUACGAUCGAGAUCCAACAAACCAUUUUAUUGGGUGUAUAACCAUAGAAGGUUUUAUUCAUGUAAAUAGAACAACAAUUAUUCUCUAAUUUAAAUGAAUAACCGUAUUGCAACAAACAUGAUCAAAUCAUAUUCAUGCUCAACGCAAACACCAAAUAACACUUAUUUAGUUUCAACACUAAUCCCGAAAGUAUAGGGAGUGUGCGAUGAUGAUCAUAUCAAUCUUGGAACUACUUUCAACACACAUCGUCACCUCGCCUUUUACUAGUCUCUGUUUAUUCUGCAACUCCCGUUUCGAGUUACUACUCUUAGCAACUGAACCAGUAUCAAAUGCCGAGGGGUUGCUAUAAACACUAGUAAAGUAUACAUCAAUAACAUGUAUAUCCAAUAUACCUUUGUUCACUUUGCCAUCCUUCUUAUCCACCAAAUACUUGGGGUAGUUCCGCUUCCAGUGACCAGUCCCUUUGCAGUAGAAGCACAUAGUCUCAGGCUUAGGACCAGACUUAGGCUUCUUCACUUGAGCAGCAACUUGCUUGCCGUUCUUCUUGAAGUUCCCCUUCUAUCCUUUUGCCCUUUUCUUGAAACUAGUGGUCUUGUUAACCAUCAACACUUGAUGCUUUUUCUUGAUUUCUACCUUCAUGGAUUUCAUCAUCAUGAAAAGCUCGGGAAUUACUUUCAUCAUCCCUUGCAUACUAUAGUUCAUCACGAAGUUCUACUAACUUGUUGAUGGUGACUAGAGAAUUCUGUCAAUCACUAUUUUAUCUGGAAGAUUAACUCCCACUUGAUUCAAGCGAUUGUAGUACCCAGACAAUCUGAGCACAUGCUCACUGCUUGAGCUAUUCUCCUCCAUCUUUUAGCUGUAGAACUUGUUGGAGACUUCAUAUCUCUCAACUCGGGUAUUUGCUUGAAAUAUUAACUUCAACUCCUGGAACAUCUCAUAUGGUCCAUGACGUUCAAAACGUCUUUGAAGUCCCGAUUCUAAGCCGUUAAGCAUGGUGCACUAAACUAUCAAGUAGUCAUCAUAUUGAGCUAGCCAAACAUUCAUAACGUCUGCAUCUGCUCCUGCAAUAGGUCUGUCACCUAGUGGUGCAUCAAGGUCAUAAUUCUUCUGUGCAGCAAUGAGGAUAAUCCUCAGAUCACGGAUCCAAUCCGCAUCUUUGCUACUAACAUCUUUCAACAUAAUUUUUCUCUAGGAACAUAUCAAAAAUAAACACAGGGAAGCAACAACGCGAGCUAUUGAUCUACAACAUAAUUUGCAAAAUACUAUCAGGACUAAGUUCAUGAUAAAUUUAAGUUCAAUUAAUCAUAUUACUUAAGAACUCCCACUUAGAUAGACAUCCCUCUAAUCCUCUAAGUGAUCACGUGAUCCAUAUCAACUAAACCAUGUCCGAUCAUCACGUGAGAUGGAGUAGUUUCAAUGGUGAACAUCACUUAUGUUGAUCAUAUCUACUAUAUGAUUCACGCUCGACCUUUCGGUCUCAGUGUUCCGAGGCCAUAUCUGUUAUAUGCUAGGCUCGUCAAGUUUAACCUGAGUAUUCCGCGUGUGCAACUGUUUUGCACCCGUUGUAUUUGAACGUAGAGCCUAUCACACCCGAUCAUCACGUGGUGUCUCAGCACGAAGAAAUUUCGCAACGGUGCAUACUCAGGGAGAACACUUGUACCUUGAUAAUUAGUGAGAGAUCAUCUUAUAAAGCUACCGUCGAACUAAGCAAAAUAAGAUGUAUAAAAGAUAAACAUCACAUGCAAUCAAAAUAUGUGACAUGACAUGGCCAUCAUCUUGUGCCUUUGAUCUCCAUCUCCAAAGCAUCGUCAUGAUUUACAUCGUCACCGGCAUGACACCAUGAUCUCCAUCAUCUUGAUCUAUAUCAAUGUGUCAUCACAUGGUCGUCUCGCCAACUAUUGCUCUUGCAACUAUUGCUAUCGCAUAUCGAUAAAGUAAAGCAAUUAUUUGGCGCUUGCAUCUUAUGCAAUAAAGAGCCAACCAUAAGGCUUCUGCCAGUUGCCGAUAACUUCAACAAAACAUGAUCAUCUUAUACAACAACUUAUAUCUUAUCACGUCUUGACCAUAUCACAUCACAACAUGCCCUGCAAAACAAGUUAGACGUCCUCUACUUUGUUGUUGCAAGUUUUACGUGGCUGCUACGGGCUUAGCAAGAACCGUUCUUACCUACGCAUCAAAACCACAAUGAUAGUUUGUCAAGUUGGUGCUGUUUUAACCUUCGCAAGGACCGGGCGUAGCCACACUCGGUUCAACUAAAAUUGGAGAAACUAACACCCGCCAGCCACCUAUGUGCAAAGCACGUCGGUAGAACCAGUCUCGCGUAAGCGUACGCGUAAUGUCGGUCCGGGCCGCUUCAUCCAACAAUACCGCCGAACCAAAGUAUGGCAUGCUGGUAAGCAGUAUGACUUAUAUCGCCCACAACUCACUUGUGUUCUACUCGUGCAUAUAACAUCAACGCAUAAAACCAGGCUCGGAUGCCACUGUAGGGGAACACAGUAAUUUCAAAAAUUUCCUACGCACACGCAAGAUCAUGGUGAUGCAUAGCAACGAGAGGGGAGAGUGUUGUCCACGUACCCUCGUAGACCGAUAGCGGAAGCGUUAACACAACACGGUUGAUGUAGGCGUACGUCUUCACGAUCCGACCGAUCAAGUACCGAACGUACGGCACCUCCGAGUUCAGCACACGUUCAGCUCGAUGACGUCCCUCGAACUCCGAUCCAGCCGAGUGUUGAGGGAGAGUUUCGUCAGCACGACGACGUGGUGACGAUGAUGAUGUUCUACCGACGCAGGGCUUCACCUAAGCACCGCUACGAUAUUAUCGAGGUGUAAUAUGGUGGAGGGGGGGCACCGCACACGGCUAAGAGAUCAAUAGAUCAAUUGUUGUGUCUAUGGGGUGCCCCCUGCCCCCGUAUAUAAAGGAGCAAGGGGGGAGGCGGCCGGCCUAGGAGGAGGGCGCGCCAAGGGGGGAGUCCUACUCCCACCGGGAGUAGGACUCCUCCUUUCCUUGUUGGAGUAGGAGAAGGGAAGGGAGAAGGAGAAGGAAGGAAGGGGGCGCCCCCCUCCCUAGUCCAAUUCGGACUAGUCCAUGGGGAGGGGUGCGGCCACCCUUUGGGGCCUUUCUCUCCUUUCCCGUAUGGCCCAUUAAGGCCCAAUACGAAUUCCCGUAACUCUCCGGUACUCCGAAAAAUACCCGAAUCACUCGGAACCUUUCCGAUGUCCAAAUAUAGUCGUCCAAUAUAUCGAUCUUUACGUCUCGACCAUUUCGAGACUCCUCGUCAUGUCCCCGAUCUCAUCCGGGACUCCGAACUCCUUCGGUACAUCAAAACUCAUAAUAAAACUGUCAUCGUAACGUUAAGCGUGCGGACCCUACGGGUUCGAGAACUAUGUAGACAUGACCGAGACACGUCUCCGGUCAAUAGCCAAUAGCGGGACCUGGAUGCCCAUAUUGGCUCCCACAUAUUAUACGAAGAUCUUUAUCGAUCAAACCGCAUAACAACAUACGUUGUUCCCUUUGUCAUCGGUAUGUUACUUGCCCGAGAUUCGAUCGUCGGUAUCUUAAUACCUAGUUCAAUCUCGUUACCGGCAAGUCUCUUUACUCGUUCCGUAAUACAUCAUCUUGCAACAAACUCAUUAGUUGCAAUGCUUGCAAGGCUUAAGUGAUGUGCAUUACCGAGAGGGCCCAGAGAUACCUCUCCGACAAUCGGAGUGACAAAUCCCAAUCUCAAAAUACGCCAACCCAACAAGUACCUUCGGAGAAACCUGUAGAGCACCUUUAUAAUCACCCAGUUACGUUGUGACGUUUGGUAGCACACAAGGUGUUCCUCCAGUAAACGGGAGUUGCAUAGGAACAUGUAUAAGUCAUGAAGAAAGCAAUAGCAACAUACUAAACGAUCGAGUGCUAAGCUAACGGAAUGGGUCAAUUCAAUCACAUCAUUCUCCUAAUGAUGUGAUCCCAUUAAUCAAAUGACAACUCAUGUCAAUGGCUAGGAAACAUAACCAUCUUUGAUCAACGAGCUAGUCAAGUAGAGGCAUACUAGUGACACUCUGUUUGUCUAUGUAUUCACACAUGUAUCAAGUUUCCGGUUAAUACAAUUCUAGUAUGAAUAAUAAACAUUUAUCAUGAUAUAAGGAAAUAAAUAAUAACUUUAUUAUUGCCUCUAGGGCAUAUUUCCUUCAGUCAGUAGGUUGGCGUACAUGGAGGGUAAAGGAAAGCCCGUUUGUAGUUCAAUUCGUUAGAACCAAAUGGCACGUUGAGGAACCCAAAGCAACACACGAGGGAGGGAGAACAGGGCACAUGAUACGUCUUCAAUGUAUCUAUAAUUUUUGAUUGUUCCAUGUUGUUAUAUUAUCAUUCUUGGAUGUUUUACAAUCAUUUUAUAGCAACUUUAUAUCAUUUUUUGGACUAACCUAUUGACAUAGUGCCCAGUGUCAGUUGUUGUUUUUUGCUUGUUUUUUACAUCACAGAAUACAGUAUUAAAUGGAGUCCAAACGCAGCGAAACUUUUUGGAGAAUUUUUAUGGAACAGAAGGAACAACAUGGGCCAAAGAAGUACCAGAGGGGUGCCCCGAGGGGGGGCACAACCCACCUGGGCGCCCCGGCGCACCCUGGUGGGUCGUGCCCACCUUGAUGGCCUCCCGCACCGCCUCUUUGCCCUAUAUAUACCCACAUAUUUCAGAAGCCCUAGGGGAGUCGACGAAACACAAUUCCAGCCGUCGCAAGUUCCAGAACCACGAGAUCCAAUCUAGACACCAUCACGGAGGGGUUCAUCAUCCUCAUUGGUACCUCUCCGAUGAUGCGUGAGUAGUUCAUUGUAGACCUAUUGGUCCCUAGACAGUAGCUAGAUGGCUUCCUCUCUCUCUCUCUCUCUCUCUCUCUCUCUCUCUCUCUCUUGAUUCUCAAUACAAUGGUCUCUUGGAGAUCUAUUUGAUGUAACUCUUUUUGCGGUGUGUUUCUUGGGAUCCGAUGAACUUUGAGUUUAUGAUUAGAUCUAUUUAUCCAUGAAAGUUAUAUGAGUUUUGAUCUCUUAUAUGCAUGAUUAAUUAUAGCCUCGUAUUUCUUCUUCGAAUCUUUGGUUUAGUUAGGCCCGCUAGAUCGAUUUUUCUUGCCAUUAGAAGAGGUGCUUUGUGAUGGGUUCGAUCUUGCGGUGUUCUUUCCCAGUGACAGAAGGGGCAGCAAGACACGUAUUGAUCAUUGCUAUUAAGGAUAAUAAGAUGGAGUCUAUUCCUACAUGAAUAGAUCUUGUCUACAUCAUGUCAUCGUUCUUAUUGCAUUACUCCAUUUAUCCAUGAACUUAAUACACUAGAUGCAUGCUGGAUAGUGGUCAAUGUGUGGAGUAAUAGUAGUAGAUGCAGGCAGAGUCGGUCUACUAAUCUUGGGCGCGAUGCCUAUAUAUUGAUCAUUGCCUGGAUAUCAUCAUAAUUGUUUGAAGUUCUAUCAAUUGCCCAACGGUAUUUUUUUUACCCACCGUGUGCUAUUUCUUGAGAGAAGCCACUAGUGAAAUCUACGGCCCUCGGGUCUAGUCUUCAUCAUAUUUGCUUUGAGAUUGAUACGUCUCCAACGUAUCUAUAAUUUUUGAUUGUUCCAUGCUAUUAUAUUAUCUGUUUUGGAUGUUUUAUAUGCAUUAAGAUGCUAUUUUAUAUGAUUUUUGGGACUAACCUAUUAACCUAGAGCCCAGUGCCAGUUCCUGUUUUUCCUUGUUUUAGAGUUUCGCGAAAAAGGAAUACCAAACGGAGUCCAAAUGGAAUAAAACUUUCGCGAUGAUUUUUCUUGGACCAGAAGACACCAGGAGACUUGGAGUGCAAGUCCGAAGAGCCACGAGGCGGCCACAAGGGUGGAGGGCGCGCCCCCCAACCUUGUGGGCCCCUCGAUGACCCCUUGACCUAGAUCUUCCUCCUAUAUAUACUCUUAUUACCCAAAAACUACCAGGGGAGCCAUGAAACCACUUUUCCACCGCUGCAACCUUCUGUACCCGUGAGAUCCCAUCUAGGGGCCUUUUCCGGCGUCCUGCCGGAGGAGGAUUCGAUCACGGAGGGCUUCUACAUCAACACCAUUGCCUCUCCGAUGAAGCGUGAGUAGUUUACCACAGACCUACAGGUCCAUAGCUAGUAGCUAGAUGGCUUCUUCUCUCUCUUUGAUUCUCAAUACAAAGUUCUCCUCGAUGUUCUUGGAGAUCUUUUCGAUGUAAUACUCUUUUGCGGUGUGUUUGCCGAGAUCCGAUGAAUUGCGGAUUUAUGAUCAGCUUAUCUAUGAAUAUUAUUUGAUUCUUCUCUGAAUUCUUAUAUGCAUGAUUUGAUAUCUUUGCAAGUCUCUUCGAGCUAUCGAUUUGGUUUGGCCAACUAGAUUGGUUUUUCUUGCAAUGGGAGAAGUGCUUAGCUUUGGGUUCAAUCUUGUGGUGUCCUUUCCGAGUGAUAGUAGGGGCAGCAAGGCAGGCAUUGUAUUGUUGCCAUCGAGGAUAAAAAGAUGGGGUUUUCAUCAUAUUGCUUGAGUUAAUUCCUCUACAUCAUGUCAUCUUGCUUAAUGCGUUACUCCGUUCUUUAUGAACUUAAUACUCUAGAUGCAUGCUGGAUAGCGGUCGAUGUGUGGAGUAAUAGUAGUAGAUGCAUAAUCGUUUCGGUCUACUUGACACGGACAUGGUGCCUAUAUUCAUGAUCAUUGCCUUAGAUAUCAUCAUAACUUUGCGCUUUUCUAUCAAUUGCUCGACAGUAAUUUGUUCACCCACCGUAAUAAUUUCUAUCUUGAGAGAAGCCUCUAGUGAAACCUAUGGCCCCCGGUGUCGGUGUCAAAACCGGCCGAUCUCAGGUAGGGGGUCCCGAACUGUGCGUCUGAGGAUCGAAGGUAACAAGGGACACUGGGAACACGAUGUUUACCCAGGUUCGGGCUCUCUCGAUGGAGGUAAACCCCUACUUCCUGCUUGAUUUUGACUUUGAUGAGUAUAGGGGUUACAAGAGUUGAUCUACCUCGAGAUCGUAAUGGCUAAACCCUAGAUGUCUAGCCUAUAUGAAUUCUGAUAGCCUCUACGGACUAAACCCUCCGGUUUACAUAGACACCAGAGGGGCCUAGGGUUGUACAGAGUCGGUUUACAGAAGAAGGAAACUAUACACCCGGACGCCAACCUUGCCAUCCAUGCAAAGGAGAGUCCCAUCCAGACACGGGGAAAGGUCUUCUACCUUGUAUCUUCACGGCCCAUCAGUCCGGCCCAUAACACACAACCCGGACACCCAAGGACCCCUUAAUCCAGGACUCCCUCAGUAGCCCAUGAAAUUGCCUUCAAUGACGAUGUAGUAUCCGGCUUAUAUCUUCGGCUUUGCAAGGCGGGUUCUUCAUUCAUACUUCGGAUUGACAACAGUCUGGCUCUGACCUCGAUGUGCUGCCUUUAUGAUCCCUUCCUGAGGUCGCUUCGAUUUCCGCGCCGAAUGAAUACGAACGGGCCGUGUUUUUUUGCAAAUAAGCCCCUCACCACGCGCGGACGGCAUCUAUAUAAGGAGAUGUAGAUCCCCAAAUGCCAUCCCAUGUCGUGCAAAAGGAAAACCGUCAAGAUUAGCCACGAACAAAGCUUUCCAACAUGGCCAGCGCCCCAGGCUCUUCUUUGCGCCCCCAUGGCCCUCAAGAGGGUGAUUGGCAGAGUUGCUUCGUGCCUCAUCUUCAGCUGAGCCAACUCCAGACACAGGGCUAUCUUCCCCUCACAGAUCUAGUCCCUAUUCGAGCGGGACUGGCCUCAAUCGGCAACGAUGUGAUGUCCGAGAAUUUCCCCAACCCCAAUAAGGAGGAGAGAGUGUGCUUCGUCCAAUUCCUGCUGCGGGGCCUAGGAUUUCCAAUCCAUCCCUUUCUCAGGGGCAUAUUGGAAUUUUACGUCAUCCAACUGCACAACCUUACCCCAGGUUCGAUUCUGCACAUCUCAGGUUUCGUUGCCCUUUGCGAACUAUUCCUCAGCAUUGAGGCCCAUUUUGAAUUAUGGAAGAAGUCCUUUUGCCUCGUUCCUCGCCAUCGAGGAGACUCUAUAUUUGAAGUGGGUGGCGCCGAAGUAUGGCGCAUAGCCGGAUCCGGAUACCUCAUUUGAACUCCCAAAGAGGUGUACCAACAGUGGUCUUCGGAAUGGUUCUAUAUGGACGAUGUCCCACUGCCGGACCCAGUUCGGCGUGGCCUUCCUGAAUUUUCCAGUGCUCCUUUAAAUAAGCGUCUUAACUGGCGUCCCCGAAGUCCCAAGGAAGAAGACAGUGCUGAGAUAAAGAGGUUGGUCAGCAAGGUCAGGCUGCUAGCCCAUACCGAGCUCUCGAUAGUCGAGGUCAUGGCUAUUGCAAUAAAGAGGUGUGUCCAGCCUCUCCAAUCCAGAGUAACUCCCUUAUGGUGUUACAACGGAGAAGAUGGCGCGUCCCAUUACAGGCGGAAGGAUCCGGAUACCCCAGCCGAACUGGCCACAAUCUUGGCCGAUCUGUAUAAGGGUGAGAAAGAAGAUUUUCUCCGCUUAAACUGCCGGGAAGGCUACUCCAUGUACAACCCCAUUGAAUGGGUAAGAUUUUGAUCGUCUGUGUUAUUUUAUUGCUGUUACAGAUACCACUACAAAAAAAGACACAUCCGUGACAUUUUGGGCCGAACGAAAAUCUUUUCUGUCAUACUUAUGACACUUCUAUGACGAUAAUUGUGACAAAAUCCGGUAUCAUCAUAGAUGUGGUGGGGUCCUACUUCUAUGACAAAAGUGAAGGAAAUAUGCCCUAGAGGCAAUAAUAAAGUAUUAUUUAUUUCCUUGUAUCAUGAUAAAUGUUUAUUAUUCAUGCUAGAAUUGUAUUAACCGGAAACAUAAUACAUGUGUGAAUAUAUAGACAAACAGAGUGUCACUAGUAUGCCUCUACUUGACUAGCUCAUUAAUCAAAGAUGGUUAUGUUUCCUAGCCAUAGACAUAAGUUGUCAUUUGAUUAACGAGAUCACCUCAUUAGGAGAAUGACGUGAUUGACUUGACCCAUUCAGUUAGCUUAGCACCCGAUCGUUUAGUAUGUUGCUAUUGCUUUCUUCAUGACUUAUACAUGUUCCUCUGACUAUGAGAUUAUGCAACUCCCGUUUACCGGAGGAACACUUUGUGUGCUACCAAACGUCACAACGUAACUGGGUGAUUAUAAAGGUGCUCUACAGGUGUCUCCAAAGGUACUUGUUGGGUUGGCGUAUUUCGAGAUUGGGAUUUGUCACUCCGAUUGUCGGAGAGGUAUCUCUGGGCUCACUCGGUAAUGCACAUCACUAUAAGCCUUGCAAGCAUUGUGACUAAUGAGUUUGUUGCAAGAUGAUGUAUUACGGAACGAGUAAAGAGACUUGCCGGUAACGAGAUUGAACUAGGUAUUAAGAUACCGACGAUCGAAUCUCGGGCAAGUAACAUACCGAUGACAAAGGGAACAACGUAUGUUGUUAUGCGGUCUGACCGAUAAAGAUCUUCGUAGAAUAUGUGGGAGCCAAUAUGGGCAUCCAGGUCCCGCUAUUGGUUAUUGACCGGAGACGUGUCUCGGUCAUGUCUACAUAGUUCUCGAACCCGUAGGGUCCGCACGCUUAACGUUACGAUGACAGUUUUAUUGAGUUUUGAUGUACCGAAGGAGUUCGGAGUCCCGGAUGAGAUCGGGGAUAUGACGAGGAGUCUCGAAAUGGCCGAGACGUAAAGAUCGAUAUAUUGGACGACUAUAUUCGGACUUCGGAAAGGUUCCGAGUGAUUCGGGUAUUUUUCGGAGUACCGGAGAGUUACGGGAAUACGUAUUAGGCCUUAUUGGGCCAUACGGGAAAGAAGGAAAAUGUCCUCAAGGGUGGCCGCACCCCUCCCCUUGGUCUGGUCCGAAUUGGACUAGGGAAGGGGGGCGCCCCCUUCCUUCCUUCUCUUUUUCCCUUCCUCUUUUCCUAUUCCAUAUGGGAGGUGGAAUCCUACUAGGACUAGGGAGUCCUAGUAGGACUCCACACUUGGUGCGCCCCCUCCUAGGGCCGGCCUCCUCCUCCCUUGCUCCUUUAUAUACGGGGGCAGGGGGCACCCCAGAGACCCAACAAUUGAUCCUUGAGAUCUCUUAGCCGUGUGCGGUGCCCCCCUCCACCAUAUUACACCUCGAUAAUACCGUUGCGGAGCUUAGGCGAAGCCCUGCGUCGGUGGAACAUCAUCAUCGUCACCACGGCGUCGUGCUGACGAAACUCUUCCUCAACACUCGGCUGGAUCGGAGUUUGAGGGACGUAAUCGAGCUGAACGUGUGUAGAACUCGGAGGUGCCGUGCGUUCGGUACUUGAUCGGUCGGAUCGUGAAGACGUACGACUACAUCAACCGCGUUGUGAUAACGCUUCCGCUGUCGGUCUACGAGGGUACGUGGACAACACUCUCCCCUCUCAUUGCUAUGCAUCACCAUGAUCUUGCGUGUGCGUAGGAUUUUUUUUUGAAAUUACUACGUUCCCCAACAGUGGCAUCCGAGCCUGGUUUUAUGCGUUGAUGCUAUGCACGAGUAGAACACAAGUGAGUUGUGGGCGAUAUAAGUCAUACUGCUUACCAGCAUGUCAUACUUUGGUUCAGCGGUAUUGUGAGAUGAAGCGGCCCGGACCGACAUUACGCGUACGCUUACGCGAGACUGGUUUCACCGUUCGGAGCACUCGUUGCUUAAAGGUGACUGCCGGGUGUCUGUCUCCCUCAUUUUAGUUGAACCGAGUGUGGCUACGCCCGGUCCUUGCGAAGGUUAAAACAACACCAACUUGACAAACUAUCGUUGUGGUUUUGAUGCGUAGGUAAGAACGGUUCUUGCUAAGCCCGUAGCAGCCACGUAAAAGAUGCAACAACAAAGUAGAGGACGUCUAACUUGUUUUUGCAGGGCAUGUUGUGAUGUGAUAUGGUCAAGACAUGAUGUGAUAUAAUGUGUUGUAUGAGAUGAUCAUGUUUUGUAACCGAGUUAUCGGCAACUGGCAGGAGCCAUAUGGUUGUCGCUUUAUUGUAUGAGAUGCAAUCGCCAUGUAAUAGUUUUACUUUAUCACUAAGCGGUAGCGAUAGUCGUAAAAGCAAUAAGUUGGCGAGACGACAACGAUACUAUGAUGGAGAUCAAGGUGUCGAGCCGGUGACGAUGGUGAUCAUGACGGUGCUUCGGAGAUGGAGAUCACGAGCACGGUGCUUCGGAGAUGGAGAUCACGAGCACGGUGCUUCGGAGAUGGAGAUCACAAGCACAAGAUGAUGAUGGCCAUAUCAUAUCACUUAUAUGGAUUGCAUGUGAUGUUAAUCCUUAAUGCAUCUUAUCUUGCUUUGAUUGACGGUAGCAUUAUAAGAUGAUCUCUCACUAAAAUUUCAAGAUAAAAGUGUUCUCCCUGAGUAUGCACCGUUGCAAAAGUUCUUCGUGCUGAGACACCACGUGUUAAUCGGGUGUGAUAGGCUCUACGUUCAAAUACAACGGGUGCAAAACAGUUGCACACGCGGAAUACUCAGGUUAAACUUGACGAGCCUAGCAUAUACAUAUAUGGCCUCGGAACACAAAGACCGAAAGGUCGAGCGCGAAUCAUAUAGUAGAUAUGAUCAACAUAGUGAUGUUCACCAUUGAAACUACUCCAUCUCACGUGUUAAUCGGACAUGGUUUAGUUGCUUUGGAUCACGUAAUCACUUAGAUGAUUAGAGGGAUGUCUAUCUAAGUGGGAGUUCUUAAGUAAUAUGAUUAAUUGAACUUAAAUUUAUCAUGAACUUAGUCCUGAUAGUAUUUGGCAAAUUAUGUUGUAGAUCAAUAGCUCGCGUUGUUGCUUCCCUGUUUUAUUUUGAUAUAUUCCUAGAGAAAAUUAUGUUGGAAGAUGUUAGUAGCAAAGAUGCGGAUUGGAUCCGUGAUCUGAGGAUUAUCCUCAUUGCUGCACAGAAAAAUUAUGUCCUUGAUGCACCGCUAGGUGACAGACUUAUUGCAGGAGCAGAUGCAGACGUUAUGAACGUUUGGCUAGCUCAAUAUGAUGACUACUUGAUAGUUUAGUGCACCAUGCUUAACGGCUUAGAAUCGGGACUUCAAAGACGUUUUUAACGUCAUGGACCAUAUAAGAUGUUCCAGGAGUUGAAGUUAAUAUUUCAAGCAAAUACCCGAGUUGAGAGAUAUGAAGUCUCCAACAAGUUCUAUAGCUAAAAGAUGGAGGAGAAUCGCUCAACUAGUGAGCAUGUGCUCAGAUUGUCUGGGUACUACAAUCGCUUGAAUCAAGUGGGAGUUAAUCUUCCAGAUAAAAUAGUGAUUGACAGAAUUAUCUAGUCACCAUAACCAAGUUAGUAGAACUUCGUGAUGAACUAUAGUAUGCAAGGGAUGACGAAAGUAAUUCCCGAGCUCUUCGUGAUGCUGAAAUCGACGAAGGUAGAAAUCAAGAAAAACAUCAAGUGUUGAUGGUUGACAUGACCACUUCAAGUGUUGAUGGUUGACGAGACCACUAGUUUCAAGAAAAGGGCAAAGGGAUAGAAGGGGAACUUCAAAAAGAACGGCAAGCAAGUUGCUACUCAAGUGAAGAAGCCCAAGUCUGUACCUAAGCCUGAGACUAAGUGCUUCUACUGCAAAGGGACUGGUCACUGGAAGCGGAACUACCCCAAGUAUUUGGUGGAUAAGAAAGAUGGCAAAGUGAACAAAGGUAUAUUGGAUAUACAUGUUAUUGAUGUGUACUUACUAGUGUUUAUAGCAACCCCUCAGUAUUUGAUACUGGUUCAGUUGCUAAGAGUAGUAACUCGAAACGGGAGUUGCAGAAUAAACAGAGACUAGUAAAAGGCGAGGUGACGAUGUGUGUUGGAAGUAGUUCCAAGAUUGAUAUGAUCAUCAUCGCACACUCCCUAUACUUUCGGGAUUAGUGUUGAAACUAAAUAAGUGUUAUUUGGUGUUUGCGUUGAGCAUGAAUAUGAUUUGAUCAUGUUUAUUGCAAUACGGUUAUUCAUUUAAGUUAGAGAACAAUUGUUGUUCUGUUUACAUGAAUAAAAACCUUCUAUGGUAAUACACACCAACGAAAAUGGUUUGUUGGAUCUCGAUCGUAGUGAUACACAUAUUCAUAAUAAUGAAGCCAAAAGAUGCAAAGUUAAUAAUAAUAGUGCAACUUAUUUGUGGCACUGCCGUUUAGGUCAUAUUGGUGUAAAGCGCAUGAAGAAACUCCAUACUGAUGGGAUUUUGGAAUCACUUGAUGCUUGCGAACCGUGGCUCAUGGGCAAGAUGACUAAAACGCCGUUCUCCGGAACUAUGGAGAGAGCAACAGAUUUGUUGGAAAUCAUACAUACAGAUGUAUGUGGUCCGAUGAAUAUUGAGGCUCGUAGCGGGUAUGAUUAUUUUCUGACCUUCACACAUGAUUUGAGCAGAUAUGGGUAUAUCUACUUAAUGAAACAGAAGUCUGAAACAUUUGAAAAGUUCAUAUAAUUUCAGAGUUAAGUAGAAAAUCAUCGUAACAAGAAAAAUAAAGUUUCUACGAUUUGAUCGUGGAGAAGAGUAUUUUAGUUACGAGUUUGGCCUUCAGUUAAAACAAUGUGAAAUAGUUUCACUACUCACGCCACCUGGAACACCACAGCAUAAUGGUGUGUCCGAACGUCAUAACCGUACUUUAUUGGAUAUAGUGCAAUCUAUGAUGUCUCUUACCAAUUUACCACUAUCGUUUUAGGGUUAUGCAUUAGAGAUAGCUACAUUCACGUUAAAUAGGGCACCAUCAAAAUCCGUUGAGACGACGCCUUAUGAACUGUGGUUUAGCAAGAAACCAAAGUUGUCGUUUCUUAAAGUUUGGGGUUGCGAUGCUUAUGUGAAAAAGUUUCAUCCUGAUAAGCUCAAACCCAAAUCAGAGAAAUGUGUCUUCAUAGGAUACCCAAACGAGACAGUUGGGUACACCUUCUAUCACAGAUCCGAAGGCAAGACAUUCGUUGCUUAGUAUGGAUCCUUUCUAGAGAAGGAGUUUCUCUCGAAAGAAGUGAGUGGGAGGAAAGUAGAACUUGAUGAGGUAACUGUACCUGCUCCCUUAUUGGAAAGUAGUUCAUCACAGAAAUCUGUUCCUGUGACUUCUACACCAAUUAGUGAGGAAGCUAAUGAUGAUGAUCAUGUAACUUCAGAUCAAGUUACUACCAAACCUCGUAGGUAAACCAGAGUAAGAUCCGCACCAGAGUGGUACGGUAAUCCUGUUCUGGAGGUUAUGUUACUAGACCAUGACGAACCUACGAACUAUGAAGAAGCGAUGGUGAGCCCAGAUUCCGCAAAAUGGCUUGAGGCCAUGAAAUCUGAGAUGAGAUCCAUGUAUGAGAACAAAGUGUGGACUUUGGUUGACUUGCCCGAUGAUCGGCAAGCAAUUGAGAAUAAAUGGAUCGUCAAGAGGAAGACGGACGCUGAUAGUAGUGUUACUAUCUACAAAGCUAGAUUUGUCGCAAAAAGGUUUUUCGACAAGUUCAAGGUGUUGACUACAAUGAGAGUUUCUCACUCGUAUCUAUGCUUAAAAUCUGUCUGAAUCAUGUUAGCAAUUGCCGCAUUUUAUGAAAUAUGGCAAAUGGAUAAACAAAACUACAUUCCUUAAUGGAUUUAUUAAAGAAGAGUUGUAUAUGAUGCAACCAGAAGGUUUUGUCAAUCCUAAAGGUGCUAACAAAAUAUGCAAGCUCCAGCGAUCCAUCUAUGGACUGGUGCAAGCAUCUCGGAGUUGGAAUAUACACUUUGAUAAGUUGAUCAAAGGAUAUAGUUUUAUACAGACUUGCGGUGAAGCCUGUAUUUACCAGAAAGUGAGUGGGAGCACUACAGCAUUUCUGAUAAGUAUAUGUGAAUGACAUAUUGUUGAUCGGAAAUAAUGUAGAAUUAUUCUGCAAAGCAUAAAGGAGUGUUUGAAAGGAGUUUUUCAAAGAAAGACCUCGGUGAAGUUGCUUACAUAUUAAGCAUCAAGAUCCAUAGAGAUAGAUCAAGACGCUUGAUAAGUUUUUCAAUGAGUACAUACCUUAACAAGAUUUUGAAGUGGUUCAAAAUGGAACAGUCAAAGAAAGAGUUUCUUGCCUGUGUUACAAGGUGUGAAAUUGAGUAAGACUCAAAGCCCGACCACAGCAGAAUAUAGAAAAAGAAUGAAAAUCAUUCCCUAUGCCUCGGCCAUAGGUUCUAUAAAGUAUGCCAUACUAUGUACCAGAUCUAUUGUAUACCCUACACUGAUUUUAGCAAGGGAGUACAAUAGUGAUCUAGGAGUAGAUCACUGGACAGCGGUCAAAAUUAUCCUUAGUGGAAUAAGGAUAUGUUUCUCGAUUAUGGAGGUGACAAAAAGAGUUCGUCGUAAAGAGUUACGUCAAUGCAAAUUUUGACACUGAUCCAGAUGACUCUAAGUCUCAAUCUGGAUACAUAUUAAAAGUGGGAGCAAUUAGCUAGAGUAGCUCCGUACUGAGCAUUGUAGACAUAGAAAUUUGCAAAAUACUUACGGAUCUGAAUGUGACAGACCCGUUGACUAAAAUUAUCUCACAAGCAAAACAUGAUCACACCUUAGUACUCUUUGGGUGUUAAUCACAUAGCGAUGUGAACUAGAUUACUGACUCUAGUAAACCCUUUGGGUGUUGAUCACAUGACGAUGUGAACUAUGGGUGUUAAUCACAUGGUGAUGUGAACUAUUGAUGUUAAAUCACAUGGCGAUGUGAACUAGAUUAUUGACUCUAGUGCAAGUGAGAGACUGAAGGAAAUAUGCCCUAGAGGCAAUAAUAAAGUAUUAUUUAUUUCCUUGUAUCAUGAUAAAUGUUUAUUAUUCAUGCUAGAAUUGUAUUAACCGGAAACAUAAUACAUGUGUGAAUAUAUAGACAAACAGAGUGUCACUAGUAUGCCUCUACUUGACUAGCUCAUUAAUCAAAGAUGGUUAUGUUUCCUAGCCAUAGACAUAAGUUGUCAUUUGAUUAACGAGAUCACCUCAUUAGGAGAAUGACGUGAUUGACUUGACCCAUUCAGUUAGCUUAGCACCCGAUCGUUUAGUAUGUUGCUAUUGCUUUCUUCAUGACUUAUACAUGUUCCUCUGACUAUGAGAUUAUGCAACUCCCGUUUACCGGAGGAACACUUUGUGUGCUACCAAACGUCACAACGUAAAUGGGUGAUUAUAAAGGUGCUCUACAGGUGUCUCCAAAGGUACUUGUUGGGUUGGCGUAUUUCGAGAUUAGGAUUUGUCACUCCAAUUGUCGGAGAGGUAUCUCUGGGCUCACUCGGUAAUGCACAUCACUAUAAGCCUUGCAAGCAUUGUGACUAAUGAGUUAGUUGCGGGAUGAUGUGUUAUGGAACGAGUAAAGAGACUUGCCGGUAACGAGAUUGAACUAGGUAUCGAGAUACCGACGAUCAAAUCUCGGGCAAGUAACAUACCGGUGACAAAGGGAACAACGUAUGUUGUUAUGCGGUCUGACCGAUAAAAAUCUUCGUAGAAUAUGUGGGAGCCAAUAUGGGCAUCCAGGUCCCGCUAUUGGUUAUAGACCGGAGACGUGUCUCGGUCAUGUCUACAUAGUUCUCGAACCCGUAGGGUCCGCACGCUUAACGUUACGAUGACAGUUUUAUUGAGUUUUGAUGUACCGAAGGAGUUCGGAGUCCCGGAUGAGAUCGGGGAUAUGACUAGGAGUCUCGAAAUGGCCGAGACGUAAAGAUCGAUAUAUUGCACGACUAUAUUCGGACUUCGGAAAGGUUCCGAGUGAUUCGGGUAUUUUUCGGAGUACCGGAGAGUUACGGGAAUACGUAUUAGGCCUUAUUGGGCCAUACGGGAAAGAAGGAAAAGGGCCUCAAGGGUGGCCGCACCCCUCCCCUUGGUCUGGUCCGAAUUGGACUAGGGAAGGGGGGUGCCCCCUUCCUUCCUUCUCUUUUUCCCUUCCUCUUUUCCUAUUCCAUAUGGGAGGUGGAAUCCUACUAGGACUAGGGAGUCCUAGUAGGACUCCACACUUGGUGCGCCCCCUCCUAGGGCCGGCCUCCUCCUCCCUUGCUCCUUUAUAUACGGGGGCAGGGGGCACCCCAGAGACACAACAAUUGAUCCUUGAGAUCUCUUAGCCGUGUGCGGUGCCCCCCUCCACCAUAUUACACCUCGAUAAUACCGUUGCGGAGCUUAGGCGAAGCCCUGCGUCGGUGGAACAUCAUCAUCGUCACCACGCCGUCGUGCUGACGAAACUCUCCCUCAACACUCGGCUGGAUCGGAGUUCGAGGGACGUCAUCGAGCUGAACGUGUGUAGAACUCGGAGGUGCCGUGCGUUCGGUACUUGAUCGGUCGGAUCGUGAAGAUGUACGACUACAUCAACCGUGUUGUGAUAACGUGGACAACACUCUCCCCUCUCGUUGCUAUGCAUCACCAUGAUCUUGCGUGUGCGUAGGAAUUUUUUUUGAAAUUACUACGUUCCCCAACAAAAAGAUCAUGACAGAAAAUGGGCUUUUCGUCCUGGGCGGGCCGGAGACGCAGCUGCAUGACAUUAUUUGGGCCGUCCAUGACGGAAAAAACCGUUGUAGAAGCGAGGGCGCGGAAAAUAUCGAGGAAUCCCCGGUUACGGUGGGUGGUCGGGGGCCGAGCGAAGCGCGUUUCUCUCGUACGUACGCGCGUGUGUGCGAGGCGUUGGGCUCUAACUGAACCCGAGCGAUUACACUGCAGGCUACGCGUUACUGAACCCGAGCGAUCGAUCGAUGGCUGAUAACUGAACCCGAUCGAGCGAUUCCUUCGCUACUGCUGCUAACUGAAGCCGAUCGAUGCUGCCUCUGGAUGAACAGUGAGCGUUGCUGGGGGGUUUGGAUGAACAGUUCCUGGUGGGGGUGGAUGAACAGGACCCCGUGGCGUUGCCUCUGGAUGAACAGUGAGCGUUGCUGGGGGGUUUGGAUGAACAGUUCCCGGUGGGAGUGGAUGAACAGGACCCCGAUCGUUCGAGCCGGUUGGGGCUGGAUGAACAGGACCCCGUGGAGGGCAGGAUGAACAGGACCACCCCGUGGAGGGCAGGAUGAACAGUAGACGGUGGAGGGCUAGAUGAACAGUAGCCCGUGGAGGGGUGGUUGAACAGGAGCCCGUGGAGAGGGCUGGUUGAACAGUAGCUGGUGGAGUAGCGCGCGGUGGAGGCUGGAUGAACAGGAGCCCGUGGAUGAACAGUCGCAGGUGGAGGCUGGAGGAGGUCGACGGUGGAUGAACAGUAGCCCGUGGAGGCUGGAGGGGGUCGAUGGUGGAGAUGAACAAUAUCCCGUGGAGUCCCGUUUUCCGGUACGCCACACCCCUCCCGAUGAACAGGACCCCCGUUUCGACCGUAGCGCUCCAACACAAGUCCGUUUCCUCCGUUUUGCAGUACGCCACACCACUCCCGAUCAACAGGACCCCCGUUGCGACCGUAGGAGGUCCGUUUCCUCUAUUUUGCGGUACGCCAGACCCCUCCCGAUGAAUAGGAUCCCGUUUCGAACGUGGCCGGUCGAACACAAGGCCAUUUCCUCCAUUCUGUGGCACGCCAGGCCUCGUUUCCAUCGGCUGUUCCGUCCAAGCCGGUUGGCUCCCACGCGUUCCGUUUUCUCCCGAUGAACACGACGCAUUCCGUUGCCUCCCCAUGAACACGACGACGAUGUUGUUUCUCUGUUCCGACCCAGCCAUGUACACGAGCCCUGGCCGUACGUACGCGCGAGUAGGCUUUCGAGAUCCCGUCCGUAUGUACAUACGUGGAUGUAUUUACUUUCUUGCACCCUGGCCGCUGUACGUACGUGUACAUGCUACGUGUGCGCCUCUACUAUGACACGUGCGCACCUCUACAUUGAUCAGUAUGUACGUACACGUUCGCGACCAAAAUGACAACGCUACGUACGCUUCGACCAGGUGGGUCCCGACUGUCAGGCACUUCCUUGCCUGCGAAGAUGUAGCUGGUGGGUCCUAGCAGUCAGGGGGGCGAAUCAUUUUUUUGCCCGGACGCACUUCCUUGCAUGGGAAGAUGUAGCUGGUGGGUCCCAGCAGUCAGGGGGAAACAUUUUUUCGCGAAAUACGAUGGCCCGUCCGGUGGGUCCCCGCUGUCAGGUGGAGGAAUAAUUAUUUUGCGCGUAAUAAGGAGGCACUUCCUUACUGCGGCCGUGGACCCAACUGUCAGCCUCUCCACGUACAGUCCACAUCCAAUGGAAGCCGUUCCUUAACCACGUUGACCACGCCGCGCCGAGAGCACCAGGGCGGUGGACGGCGGCGAGGCCUAGGAAGGGGACGACGCGGAGCCGGGGAAAACGGGGCAGUGGAAGCCCGCGCGGAGAGGAGUACGAGGGUUCACUGGUUCGGUUGCGGUGUGAGGCUGCCGUCACCGCAGGGCCUGGCCAGCGGUGAGAAUAGUAGGGGGCGGUGAGGCCUCCGCGGCAGCACAGCCGGCCACGGGAGGCAGGAGCAUGCGGCACGACCGGCGCUGCUUUGGACGGCUGGAGCAACAAGACCAGAGGUUGAAGAAGCACUACGGCCGUUGGAUGGUGCUACCUCUUGAGCACUGCGUUUGUUUUCCCUUGAAGAGGAAAGGGUGAUGCAGCAAAGUAGCGUAAGUAUUUCCCUCAGUUUUUGAGAACCAAGGUAUCAAUCCAGUAGGAGGCCACGCACGAGUCCCUCGCACCUACACAAACAAAUAAAUCCUCGCAACCAACGCGGUAAGGGGUUGUCAAUCCCUACACGGUCACUUACGAGAGUGAGAUCUGAUAGAUAUGAUAGGAUAAUAUUUUUGGUAUUUUUAUGAUAAAGAUGCAAAGUAAAAUAGAAGCAAAAUAAAAGGCAACGGAAAUAACUUGUUGAUGGGAGAUUAAUAUGAUGGAAAAUAGGCCCGGGGGCCAUAGGUUUCACUAGUGGCUUCUCUCGAGGGCAUAAGUAUUUACGGUGGGUGAACAAAUUACUGUUGAGCAAUUGACAGAAUUGAGCAUAGUUAUGAGAAUAUCUAGGUAUGAUCAUGUAUAUAGGCAUCACGUUCGAGACAAGUAGACCGACUCCUGCCUGCAUCUACUACUAUUACUCCACACAUCGACCGCUAUCCAGCAUGCAUCUAGAGUAUUAAGUUCAUAAGAACAGAGUAACGCUUUAAGCAAGAUGACAUGAUGUAGAGGGAUAAACUCAUGCAAUAUGAUAUAAACCCCAUCUUGUUAUCCUCGAUGGCAACAAUACAAUACGUGCCUUGCUGCCCCUACUGUCACUAGGAAAGGACACCGCAAGAUUGAACCCAAAGCUAAGCACUUCUCCUAUUGCAAGAAAGAUCAAUCUAGUAGGCCAAACCAAACUGAUAAUUCGAAGAUACUUGCAAAGAUAACCAAUCAUACAUAAAAGAAUUCGGAGAAGAUUCAAAUAUUGUUCAUAGAUAAACUUGAUCAUAAACCCACAAUUCAUCGGUCUCAAUAAACACACCGCAAAAGAAGAUUACAUCGAAUAGAUCUCCACGAGAGAGGGGGAGAACAUUGUAUUGAGAUCCAAAAAGAGAGAAGAAGCCAUCUAGCUAAUAACUAUAGACCCGAAGGUCUGAGGUAAACUACUCACACUUCAUCGAAGAGGCUAUGGUGUUGAUGUAGAAGCCCUCCAUGAUCGAUGCCCCCUCCGGCGGAGCUCCGGAACAGGCCCCAAGAUGGGAUCUCACGGGUACAGAAGGUUGCGGCGGUGGAAUUAGGUUUUUGGCUCCGUAUCUGGUAGUUUGGGGGUACGUAGGUAUAUAUAGGAGGAAGGAGUACGUCGAUGGAGCAACAGGGGGCCCACGAGGGUGGAGGGCGCGCCCUGGAGGGUAGGCGUGCCCCCCUACCUCGUGCCCUCCUGGUUGAUGUCUUGACGUAGGGUCCAAGUCCUCUGGAUCACGUUCGUUCCGAAAAUCACGUUCCCGAAGGUUUCAUUCCGCUUGGACUCCGUUUGAUAUUCUUUUUCUGCGAAACUCUGAAAUAGGCAAAAAAUAGCAAUUCUCGGCUAGGCCUCCGGUUAAUAGGGUAGUCCCAAAAAUAAUGUAAAAGUGUAUAAUAAAGCCCAAUAAUUUCCAAAACAGAAUAUAAUAUAGCAUGGAACAGUAAAAAAUUAUAGAUACGUUGGAGACGUAUCANNNNNNNNNNGGAAUUAGGUUUUUGGCUCCGUAUCUGGUAGUUUGGGGGUACGUAGGUAUAUAUAGGAGGAAGGAGUACGUCGAUGGAGCAACAGGGGGCCCACGAGGGUGGAGGGCGCGUCUGGGGAGGGGGGGGGGGUAGGCGCGCCCCCUACCUCGUGGCCUCCUGGUUGGUGUCUUGACGUAGGGUCCAAGUCCUCUGGAUCACGUUCAUUCCGAAAAUCACGUUCCCGAAGGUUUCAUUCCGUUUGGACUCCGUUUGAUAUUCUUUUUCUGCGAAACUCUGAAAUAGGCAAAAAACAGCAAUUCUGAGCUGGGCCUCCGGUUAAUAGGUUAGUCCCAAAAAUAAUAUAAAAGUGUAUAAUAAAGCCCAAUAAUGUCCAAAACAGAAUAUAAUAUAGCAUGUAACAAUCAAAAAUUAUAGAUACGUUGGAGACGUAUCAGAUGGACAUCGUACGGUCACUGGAGCUAGAAUCGUUCAUAUUGACUAAGUUGACAAAGCACUCCGUCCCCGUCAACUUAGUAGGCCCACAAGUCAGCCACCCACCAAGUUGGGUCCCAACUAGCAGGGGGAGUAUUCAUUUUUUUGUGCGUAAUAAGGAGGCACAUCCGGUGGGUCCGAGCUGACAGCGGGGGGAACGUUUUUUUCGCGAAAUAUGGUGACCCGUCCGGUGGGUCCCAGCUGUCAGGGGGGAAACCUUUUUUUCACAAAAUACGGUGGCCCAUCCGGUGGGUCCCUGCUGUUAGGUGGAGGAAUCAUUAUUUUCCGCGUAAUAAGGAGGCACUUCUUUGCUGCGGCUGUGGACCCAGCUGUCAGCCUCUCCACGUACAGUACACUUCCGAUGGAAGUCGUUCCUUAACCACGUUGACCACGCCGCGUUCCGUUGCAUGCAUGCGUCCAUGGGCGUGGUGCGUCCCCACUGUCAGCCUCUCACGUACAGUCAUGUUCCGACCACGUUGACCAUACCGUGCCGAGCGCACCAAAGGCCGGUGGACGACGGCGAGGCCCCAGACUAGAACGACCCGGAGAUGGGGAAGACGGGGCAGUGGAGUCGCAGAUAGAGAGGAGUGGGAAACUUGACUGGUUCGGGUGCCCGGCAGCACAGCCGCGGUGCCGCUCACGGGAGACAGGAGCAAGAACAGAGGUUGAAGAAGGAGCACGGCUGUUGGAUUAACAUCCAACAGUCCAGCUGCUAGAAUCAUUUAUUGAUUAAGUUGACAAAGCCCUGCGUACACGUCCGCUUAGUAGGCCCACAAGUCAGCCACCAAAUCUGACGGGUCCCAGCUGUCAACGGGAGGAAUAAUUUUUUUCGCAUAACAAGGAGGCACUUCCUUCCGUGCGAAGAUACAGCCGGUGGGUCCCAGCUGUCAGGUGGAGGAAACAUUUUUUUAGCUUAAUAAGGAGGAACUUUCCUUGCGUGCGACCAUGGACCUCGUGGGUCCUAGCCGUUAGGCUCUCCACGUAUAGUCCUCUUCUGAUGACUCUCGUUUGUUGACCACGCCGCACCGAGCGCAGCGAGGCAGUGGACGACGACGAGGCCCCGGACGGGAACGACUCGGAGAUGGGAAGACGCGGCAGUGGAGUGCAGAUUAAGUGGAGGAGAAGGGUUAUAACUGGUUCUGGUGCGGCGUGGGGCUGCAGUCGGUGGAGAAUAACAGGAGGUGUGGAGGGGUGGAGGGAUAGCCUGGCCGACGGCGGGGUAGUGCUUCGCAGCGAUGCGUGCUAAGCAGAGCCGCUAGCCGCCGGAGGCCGGACCAGGCGGUCCCGGCAACGCUGGAGGAAGAAGACGAGAGAUUGAAGGUGCAUGCCGACCAAGUUGACAACGCCCUGCGUAGGCUUCGACCUAUUUGCCCACAUGUCAGCCUGCAAAAAUGUGGCAUAUAUUUAAGCCAUGUUUUCUAGAAUGUACAGUCCAUUUGCUAGGCUGGGUGAACAAAUAAUUUCGCGUCAAUGCGGCCCAUUUAUAUUAUCUAAGAAAUCCUAGCCCAUUUGCACUUCCUUCAAAUACACGAAUUUGCUGGGCUCGUUAUAUAUAUAAUGUUAUGUUAGAAGGAGCAAUUAAUAUCAAAAAUAAACCGGAAUGGCACAUUUUUUAUAUACAUAAUUAACAAAUUAGUGAGUUAUUGCUCAAAAUAAAAAUGAGCGCGUUAUUAUUACAUUGGUCCUUAAAAUCUUCGCAAGCUUUUGUACGCAAUCACAAGGAUUUUCCUUGCCUGUGAGUCAAAAACAACUAGGAUUUUCCUUGCCAACUUCUGUUAAACAUUUACUGUUAUAAGUUAAUAACACGUGGGAUGUUUUCAUAAUGUAUAUAUAAGUCUCUAUAAAAUAUACAAUAAUAGUAAUAAUAUAAAUAUAUAUAAUGUGGUUAAAAAAAUACAUUGGGCUGCCGAUCUUUAAGAAAAAGCCCAUAGGCCGGUAUGGACCUCAAAAAAUAAGUUGAAACCACUGUCACCCGUAUGUCGUGGGCUACGCAUGUUAAAAUACAAAACCUAGGCCUAGCUGAUACUUGUUCGCCCUCUGGAAAAAAAUGAUACCAGAUCCCCGAGCGAACUGGAUUAUAGAGGGGGCUGGCGACACGACUGAAGAAGCACAUCAGGAGAGAUUUUUUUCUUCAGUCGAUGGCUCUCGAUGGCCUUUUUUUACUUGCCUAUGCACCAUACAACUUGUAUUUUUAGCCUCCCAGUCCAUGGUGGACCAGCAACCCAUUUGCUGGGCGGGCCAACCUACAGAAACCAGCACUCGAUUUUUCAUCAAGCCCCAAAAACAACGCAGUACUAUGUUUGUUUUGAGGCCGAAAACAUCACGGCAGGGGUUGAGCGGGGGAGGGGGCAAGACAGAGCAAAAAGAUUAAAAAGAGCUGAUGCGCCGUUGCUACCCUAACAAAGCAGGUGCAAUUCUUCUCGGGAAGAAGGUGUGCCGUUGACACCCACACGUCACAUACCCCACAGUAGGCAUACUAACAAGUUCACACACAAGCACAACAGAAAAGGUAAACAUUCGUAUCAAACUCAGGUUCACAGGACAUGUUCAUAUUCAUAGCCAACAUUCACUAUCAACAACUCAAAAGAUUCAUAUAUACACAAGUUCAUCAUGUCUAUGGAUCCAAAUGAUUGAUAGAUCGCACAACAAUAUUCAUAGAUAAUUCAAAAAAAGAUUCAGAUAUACACAUGUUCAGUAUGUUUAUGCAUCCAAAUGAUUGACAUCACAACCAAUAUGAUCCAUGGACGAACUUUAAUUACCUAGGGUACAAACUGGUAAAUGGUGUUCAGUCAGAGGUACUUCUUGCUAAAAUUAAUGCUUGUACGAGUAAACUUUCGAGUACAUAAGAGGCAGCACAGACAAUCUGAACUUUGCUUGUAGGUUUAUCCUCAAAUAGUGGCCUCGUGCCGAGGGAGGUUUGAGCAACUUGGCCACUACUUUCAUCCAACUAGUUUACUGGCUCAUCUUGGUCCUAUAGCUCGCCAAAAUUCUACAUUGCAGACUGGUAAAUGGUGUUCAGUCGGAGGUACUUCUUGCUAAAAUUAAUACUUCUACAAGUAAACUUUUGAGUACAUAAGAGGCAGCACAGACAAUCUGAACUUUGCUUGUAGGUUUAUCCUCAAAUAGUGGCCUCGUGCUGAGGGAGGUUUGACCGUUUGAGCAACUUGGCCACUACUUUCAUCCAACUAGUUUACUGGCUCAUCUUGGUCCUGUAUCUCGCCAAAAUUCUACAUUGCAGACGAGAAAGGAGGCGGUUGAGAAAAUGAACCACCCAAAUUUUUUGUGCAGUUUAACUGAAAUGGAGCAUCCCUGGCGUGCAGACUGAUUAAGUGCCAGAUGAAUAUACGCAUCAACCAACUUGUCUGGAAUCUUUAGACUCCAUGCCAUACAGUUCGCUACCAUAUGUGCAGAUAACCAAAAGGCACAAGUUGGGACCAAAGACUGGACUGCGUUUUCCUGGGCUAUGCGCCAAGCAAUAUUUUUGGCGUUCACUCUCCUAAUACUUGGAGUUUGACAAUUGGUUGACGCCGGUUGAUACUCGAAUGAAUAUCGGCACUUCUUCUUGUCAACAUCGAUGCUUGUCUGAGUGAACUUUGGAGUACAUAGCAGCAGCAUAAGUACCUGUCCAUCUGAUCUUUUUGUGUAGUUCUACUGAAAUCACCCGAUGUAAUGAUUUGCCUGCGAGUUCAGGCUCCAAGUUACUCCUUUAUGAAAUCGGCAAACAGUAACACAAUACCAAAUUACCAAUACAUAUGACAAGCACAAUAAUCAGGAUAAAGACCAGUACCAACCUGUGUGAGGUAGCAUAUCAAUUACUAUUUCCUUUGACUGGAAGCCGAGCUAAGCCAAGCGACUGACAGCAAAGGAAGAAUGCAAGCCGAGAUUAGCAACUAACAGGAAAGGAAGGAAGCUGUCGAGGCAAUGAAGCACCCAAAGUUUUUGUGCAGUUCCACCAAAAUCGAGCAUCCCUGUUGGCACAUAUAUUGAGAGAGUGAGAUUACUGUAAUAGUGGGACUAGUUGAUGAAACAUACACUAACAAAUAGAAGCACCCUCAUUAUCUUAAUGGGUAAAGUUAGCAUUCCCUCCCUGCUCCACCACAUGAUUCACCUCAUAGACAAAGAUACACACGUACAUGAUUCAGCAUAGGGUGCUACUAAAGAUUUGUUUAACUCCGACAGGAAAAUUAGGCAGCAAUAAAUUAGUGGUACUUAAGUACUCCUAAUUAAUUAAGUGAGACAGCAGAAGUGGAAGGGCUCCCUGGAGGAUCGUCUCACAUGUAAGGUAGUCGUUGCCGGAGCCCGUGAAUGGCCUCGACUGAGGCCUCUGGCUUCAACAAGAUCGCCUUGGCACUGUUUACUCUUCUUCUUCUUCCUCUUCAUGCUCUGUUUCUCAGUCUCCUCACCAGUUGGUGAAACCAAGUACAUGAUUGGCCUUCUAUUUCAGAAUGGUUUUGUCAGUGAGGGAGUACAAGUGUACUAGUAAAAAAUAGCAUUAGUUUCUCAUGGCAAUCGCAAAAUAGAGAUGAACACAUGCAUUAAAUAUCAUUCUUACCUAAAGGAAGGUUAUGGUGCCAAUAUGGAUGAUGAGGAUUGGAACACAGAUCUCCCUUUGUGCAGUUCCACCGAGAUGAACCAACUGUUCCAUUCUGACAUUCCAGUUAAACAUCACAAAAGUCACUUCUUUUAAGAAGAGUUUUGUGCAGUGCACCAAAAGGUCACAACAGCAACCAGGUGAAAUGGAUAUCCUUGUUUGCACAAAAAGCUACAGAGGAAAUAGUCAGAGUCUCAAACAAUUACAGGCAAAAACAUUUGGCUAAACUUGUCAUGGCUUAUAACAGUGGCAUGGCUUCAUUUUUACCAGGGGCAUUGGAUUAAGAACAGCUAAAUAUUUGGUAUAAGGGCAUGGGACAGUGGGUGCACCAGCAGUCCAGCACCAUGUACCUAAAUAGGGGCAUAAAGUGGUGAUUCAUAGUUUGUUGCCCCGAGAAACAAACAUCCAAGAAACAUAUCUGGGUUGGUCCCAUUUUUGUUCACUCUAGCCACCUACUCCUAUGUGUGGAUAGCAAAUCUAGUCCUGGUCAUACCACUGUGUACAGCGUUACCCCUAUAUUUCCCUUUUCGACCAAGAGACCGGUUGGAUGACCAGUCUGUACUACUUUCACCCCCUUUCCUUCCUGUUUGUACCAAGUUCGAUGUACUACAUACUAAAUUCCCCCACCCCCACUUUAUUUCUUGUUUGAACCAAGUACAAGAUUCGACUCCAUGAAGUAGCUUUACCUCUAACAAUAGAAAAAAGGUGACGUUGGACCAUCCGAUCGAGAGGGGCUGAGAGGUAGAAAAUGAUGCACAUGCAGCGACAUAGCGAGCUGGGGAAGUAGAGCUAAGGCGGUUUCGAAGGAAGAUAUACCUGAAGGUCAUCGGGAUGUGGAUAGGUGGGCGGCGGGAGGCCGGAUCCGCCCAUACUAGGGCAACGAUGAAGGGAUCGGAGGACCUCUCGCGUCGGCGCUCGGCCAGAGAUAACGGUGCAGCCGGCAGUGGGUCUCCUCCCUCCCUGUCGACGACGGCCUAAACGCUGCCCCUCCUCCCCUUCACCGGCGGAGGGGGAUACGUCCGGAUCUGUAACCAGCGGUGAGGAUAGAAAGACAGUGUUUUUUGAAGGGAGAAAGACAGUGUUACCACCCCUAUCUUGUUUAGAUCUGGAGAGGAUGAGAGUGUGUGAAUAGAGCAACCUAGCAAGCAAGCGCGGAGGCUCCGGCCUAUAUAUACGUAGUGGGGUAGUUUUCCUUUUUCACUCCAUCAAAACAAUCGUUUAAAAUUGUGUACUACUCUCUCCGUUUCUUUUUACUCCGCACAUAAGAUUUGGUCAAAGUCAAACUACACAAAGUUUGACCAAAUUUAUAUAAAAAAAUAUAAACAUCUACAAUACUAAAACUAUAUAGUAUGAAAAUACGUUUCAUGGUGCAUCUGAUAAUAUCGAUUUCAUAUUGUGAAUGUUUAUAUUUUUUAAUAUAAAGUUAGUCAAACUCUACAAAGCUUGACUUUGACCAAACCUUAUAUGCGGACUAAAAAGAAACGGAGGGAGUACGUGUCAGGUCGCCGUUUUUUAAGUUGUUGAUUGUUUUUUGAGAUAGCUACCCGCUUGUUCCAAGUGGUGUUACGGUGUGCCAGGUCGCACUUUUUUAAGGGUGCCAGGUCGCAUUUUUAUCGUUCAAGUCUGGUACAAGUCCCUCCAUUAAAUGAACAACCACCCCCUCGUAAAAAUUGUGAACAAGCCCACGGCUAAAAUUAUCGGAAACGUGGGUUGCCCCAACAUGCAUUAUUAUUUAUAAUUUCUACUCCCUCCGUUCCUAAAUAUAAGUCUUUUUUUAUUCGCCACACCUAAGACAAUAAUUUUUUUUAUUAGCAGUGAACCCCACAUGUCAUAGACACAAAAAGUGUGGCAAGAUUCCCUUAGGCAAGCCAAAGUGUGUCUAACAAUUUGAGCAACUCAAGUUAGGCAAGUGUGGCAAGUGUGGGAAAAAUAAUGUGGCAACAUAAGACAAACAUAGUCACAAUCCAAACAGCCCCGUAAUUUUUUGUGACAUGCAUGAAAAUUUGGUUAGUUAAAUUUAUAGUCAAAAUUUGGCAAGGUGCAUCAAAUCAACACAUGCAAGUAUCAAAAGGGAGGUCACGGCAUGCAUGCAUGCGUUGUACUCCCUCCUUAAGUCUUUUUAGAGAUUGCAACAAGUGACUACAUACGAAGCAAAUAUGUCUACAUACAUCCGUAUGUAGUAGUCCAUUUGAAAUGUGUAAAAAGACUUAUAUCGAGUGCAGUGCUUUGAUGUGUCGCGUCAACUCGUACAAGACCGAGAAGUUUGAUUACUACAACGCCCCCUCCCUCGCGCAUGAGCGUGGUGGCUGGCAGGACUAGUAAGAGCUUUCGCUACACGCUUCUUGACGGCGGCGAACUUGCGGAUGGAGUUGACCAUCAUGUCGUCCAUGCGAGAGGCGAAGCCGGCGUCGGCGAGGGCUACGACGCCGGCGGUCGCCAGCACCGUCUGGAAACGCUGCGCGGUGCGGGGCCGCAGGCCGGCGCCUUGGAUGAUUUGGCACAGCCGACUGCCGCUCGCGACCAUCGCCUCAAUAGGUGCUUCUGGCUUCUGGUCACUUGGUCUUGGAUUGGAGUGAGCAGUGUUGCGCAGUGAUUGAGAAAGAACAUUUAUUGUCAAUCUAACCCUGCCAUCCAUAGACCUCUUUGGUUUAGAGUUAGUUCAGGGUUAGAAUCUAACUCUAACCUCUAAUUGAGUUAGUAGAGUUCUCCUCGUCUUGGUUCAUCGCCAUCAUACUUUCCCCAUUUCUGUGUUUUCAGUAUCCUGCGAAUCAAAGAGGCCCUUAGACUGGUUUAGGUCUGGUAGUUUUUUAUAAACGUGUUAUGUCCAAAAUUUAAUGAACAUGCUCCAGUUUCUAAGAAAAUAGUCUGGUUUCAUGUAGUAAUUCAUUUAUUUAUUUAUUAUUCUGCGGGGGGUUUGCAUGUAAUUCGUGAGGUCUGAAAUGUAAAGUACCCUGGCAUAUGCUCCGAGUCGUGCAUGCACUACGACCCAGAUGCUCUAUGUCCCACAUGUCGGUGAAAGGGUGCACGUGGAAAUAGCCUAGGAGUACAUAUAGGAGGAUAAAUGCGUGAAAAAAUAUGUACGGUGAAGCAUAGUUGCGGUUCGAAAAGGAGACCUAAAGUGAUAACAGGUAUAGGUCGCACACACCCAACUAGUGGUAGUACUAGACAUACGACUGCUUUUUCCCUAAAAAAAGAGGUACGAGUGCUCAGUACUCCUAUUCUAUCAACGCGAGUCCCAUCUGACAAUAGCGUCUGUGCUACAGCUAGCUCUUCUCCCUCGUUUCUCUCUUCUAGUAAUUCUAAACUCAGUCGAUGCCCGGUGGGCGGGGUGGGGAUUUGCGAUGGUCGGUUUGCUCAACUGCGGCCCCACCUCACAGUGAAAACGUUACUACUAGAAUAAAAAUGCCAUAUACCCCUAUACUAAUAAAACAUUAAGGCCACAAGGUGAUGCAGUGCUGGUUACAGGAGGCAAGAAGAAGAGAUGCAUCGAACGGCGGCUAAGUAGCAGCGGCUUUCGUGGCCAGGUCGACGUGCUUCUGAACAAUGGCGUCCAAAGAUUCCAGCCGCUGGAAGAAGGCCAAUGUCUUUCUGUCCUCGCUGGCCUUGUAGUGGCCUAUGUAGACGAUUUCCUCGUAGACGUGGAUGUGCACGUCGACGGUUUCUUUCAUGGCGAGGCGCUGUGCGACGAGCGCGGCCUCGAGGUGCACAUUCUUCAUCGCGACCUUCGGCAACUGCAGGGCCACCAGGGCUUGAAAGAGUUCGUCACCAUGGAGGCCGAUGAGGGUGGCAGGCAAUGAAAAGCCUGGGCGCAUGGGCUGGAGCAGUACGGCAAGGUCGUCCGCGUGCUUCUUGACGGCGGCGAACUUGCGGAUGGAGUUGACCAUCAUGUCGUCCAUGCGAGAGGCGAAGCCGGCAUUGGCGAGGGCUACGACGCCGGCGGUUGCCAGCACCGUCUGGAAACGCUGCACGGUGCGGGGCCGCAGGCCGGCGCCUUGGAUGAAUUGGCACAGCCUACUGCCGCUCGCGUCCAUCGCCUCCAUAGGUGCUUCUGGCUUCUAGUCACUUGGUCUUGGAUUGGAGUGAGCAGUGUUGCGCAGAGACUAAGGAGUAGAUGGAUUGGAGUGGUGGGGCGCCUUUAUAUGAGAAUCCAAACUCUGUUGCAUUCACAUCGUGCUGGCUCUAUUCUGCUUCUCCAAUUAAUUCCCUCUACAUGCAGAGUAAUUUGAGGAUGCAUCAUUGACCAUUCAACGUCUCGGGAACCGCUACCCUCUCCCUCCUUGGCAUUCAAGCACCUAUGGAGGCGACUGCCGCUCGCGUCUAUCGCGUGUCAGGAGAUGUUCCCGUCGACGACGAGGUGCCUAUGGUGACUUCGUAAAUUUCAAGAUGAUAGUACUAGUAUACUCAAUAUUGUGCACCGCGACCAAGGCCGAGAGGAAAACGAGAGAACUAGCACGUAUUUAUUUACGGUGUAGAUUCACUCAUUUUGCUCCAUAUGUACUCCGUCUCGGUGUAGUCCAGUCACUUGUUGAAAUCUCUAGAAAGGCAAAUACUCCUUUCUGGUUUACAGGGCUAUACUAGCAAGUACUUACUACAAUAGUGGGCUCACAUAGCAAUUUUGUCUCAUGCAAGAGCCUGGCUAUAUGCGUGCUCCAAGGUUCGCAACUGCCACGUUCGGGUUGCACUUGGCUCUUCGCCUCUUCGAGAAGACGAACAAUGAUGUUACUACUACUGCUUCUACAGUAUCGAAUCCACUGCUGCAUGUCCGUCCACCUUGAGCGGGAGAGAUAGCUUGUUGUAGUACUAUACUCCCUCCUUACCGGGUUAUAAGGCUCAACUCAAAAUCUUCAGAUUUCCGUUUUAUAAGGCUUGUUUUGAGAGUAGCUUGGUUAAAGCUCUAAGGUCUUUUUGAUUGCUGCGUUGCAUUUAAUUCCCUGGUACCAUUUUCAAAAGAAAAUUAAUCACAGAGCCAAGUCGUUGCUCCUUUCUUCCCUUAGCUGCAUGCAUGCAGCAAACUGGACAUUAAAACGAGAUAAAAAAACGAAGACUGACCAGUGCAUGCGCCAUCUGGAUGAGAGAGAGAGAGUGGGACGCAUGCGGGCUUGGGGUGCUGUAGUUAAUUGCAUUGGCAAUUGAACAGGCUGAGAUUUAAUACCAAGAUGUUGUAAUUGGGCAUUUUUCACAUAAGCUCAAUUCACCUCACCCAAUAGACAUUUACCUUGGUUGGUGGGAUUUCAGAUAUGAGCCCUAUAAUAAACUGGUAAGGAGGGAGUAUAAGCAAAAGCCUGUCCUCGUCUGCGAGCCACCGCGCGCAUGGGCGAGGGAGAAGGCGCGUAGUAGUAAAAUCAAGCUUCUCCUCGUUGUACGAGUUGACGCGACACAUCAUAGCACUGGCCCCACAUGGUUGCCUCUAAACUUGGCUGAAAGACCCGCAGUGUACAAUACUCCAUUUGCUGCAACCUUUAACAUUUACCCCACCACAAAUUAAAAUAUAUAUUCCUAUCUUGACCAGAUGAGCGUGCAAACUAGAAUCACCAGGAUGACAGGUAGGGCCAGAAGAUAAUUUUAAUCAAAAAAAUAUAGCAUGGAGCCGACCCCAACGAUUUUAAGCUUACAGGCACGGUACACGCUAUCCUAGACUACUAUACACAUGAAACUGCCACACGAGCGUCCGGGCUGCGCUUGGCUCUUCGCUCUUCGGGAUGUCGAACAAAAUGAUGGAGUACUACUAUAGUGGAGGAGUACUACAGUAUGCUUCUGGCCAUCUGACACCGAUUGAACUGCUGCAUGUCCACCGCGUACGGGAGGGAGAGCAUGUAGCGAACAAAAGCUUCUCCUAGUCUUGCCAGCCACCACGCUCAUGGGCGAGGGAGGGACGCAACUUCAUUGACUUACUGCCCCUGCCUUUGCGUCCAUGACAGGUGGGCCCAACAGGUCGGUUGCCCACCUGUCAUGCAGCCAAAGGCAGGUGCGGUUAAGGCGAGAGGGCAUUGUAGCACUGCACUCGAUAUAUUUCAAUAAUUUGCGUUUACCGAUGCAUUAAUUACAAUGCACGCAUGCGUGUUCUGACUCUCCUUUUGAUACUUGCAUGUGUUGAUUUAAUGCACCUUGAAGUAGUAUGAAUAUGUGAUGGUAAAGCUUUGUAAUGCCCCGUCCCUAAUAAAGCGAGAGAUGGUUGUUCACGAGGAGGGCGAGAUCAUGCAGACGGAACAUGACCCGACGAUGGAGCUCUCUAUGGUCUCGAUGGACCUCACCUUGCUCCACUGCCCCUUGUGCCUCCGCCCCUUGAAGCCUCCAGUGUAUGAGGUUCGAAUACACCUCGUCCGUUCGGCUGAUCGAGCAAGGUGCAGGUUUCUUGAUUGAUGUGUUGUUCGAUUGAUUUGUGCAGUGCAAGGGAGGACACCUUGCUUGCGCGGACUGCCGCGUCGAGCGCCCCGGGAACCAGCGGCAGUGCCAGAAGUGCGAGCGCGGCUGUGGCUUCGACGUGCGGAACACGGCGGUGGACGCCGUCCUCUCCUCGGUGAGGGUGGAGUGCCCGCACGAAGGCUGUGGGCUCUACGUCACUUACCACAAGCUCGCCGAUCACCAGAGCGUGUGUCCGCUCGCGCCCUGCAAAUGCCCCGUGCCCGUCUGCGGCUACGAAGGCCUGUCGCCAUGGCUCUCCCACCACAUCAGCACUGUGCAUCCCAUGCCCAUGCACAGGAUCCAGUACGGCAAGGCGCUCCAGCUGCAAGUGCCACUGUCGGAGCCACGGCUCUUGCUGUUCGCGGAGGAGGAUGGCCGCGCGUUUUUCUUGGUCGGCGGCGUGCUCGACAUCGGCGCGCCUAUCGCCGUGUCGGUCGUCUGCAUCAGAGCAGGGGCGUCCCCACUGCCGCACUACGUGGCCAAGCUGUGGGCGAAUGGCCCGUCGGGGGAGCCCAAAGGCAGGACCGACGCCGUCAAGGUGGAAAUGGAGGUGACAAGCAGCAGGGAUCCCGGCGACGUCGCCGUGCAGGAGCUGACCUUCUUCACAGUUCCGCCCAAGCUGCUGGCCGGGGCUAAGCUGGUGUCCCUCCACAUUCAGAUUGACAAGCUCACAUCCUAAAUGAUUCUACAAUGCCUUCUGUUUAUCUUAGUAAUAUGCUAAUAUAGGGGUUAGAUCGGUCUACUUUAGCUUAAGAGAUGCUGGGUUUUGGUGGCGAUGCAGCAAUUACCUCGACAUCAGAUCAGCAGUGAAAGUAAUUUCGAACAGUCGAAUGGAUAUUCCGUGUCUGUUGGAUAUAGAGAUCCUUUGGGUAAGAAGUAACAGCUUAUAUGCUUUUUUUUCGAAACAGAACAACGAUACUAGUAUAAUUUUUGUUGACAUGCACUAAUAUUUUCGAAACGGACGUCGGGCUGUAGCUAGGCGGUUGGGACGCGGCAUCGGCCCAUACCGCGGUGACCCCCGAUUGGGACGCACCGACUAUGGAUUUUCUCCCUCGCCGAUGUCGACCGCGUCUACGCAGAACAUUGUUCCCUUCCCCCAGCUGCGGGAUCAGGCCGGAUAUGUGACCAGCGGUGUGGCCACCGUCGUUCGAAGCUUGUGAAGAGAGCAACCCAAGCAAGCAGGCUUGUAGCUUAGGCUCCUGCUAGUGUAUAUAUAGUGGUUUUCUUUUUCUCUCCAUAUCAACCAUUUUAUAUUGCGUAUGUGUCAUUGAAGAGUGAAAUGAUGGUUGCUUCUUCCGACUAACUUACUGUGUGAUUUAAUUGCUCCUUUAGUGGCCCCUACACGUACUCCCCCUACGUGUAUGCAACAGUCACACGUACACAUGGACGCAAAAACGCGCGACGCCCUAAUGCAUGCAUGUCCGAGCACAUGACGGAACACACACGGUCACGCUCAAGUGCUCAACCUACACGUGCAUGCACACACAUACUCAGCCAGGGUGAGCUAGUGACCGUAUAAACACCGGAAAAUGUAUAUAUUGAGCGCAAUGAGCGUAUUAUGAAGUCCACUGACCGUAUUUUUACAAAUAUACAGUGACAGACAGUGUAUUUAUCUCGUUUGAAAUUAAGCCAUAUUAACCGGAGAGGAGGCAGUAUGGACUAGCAUUACUUUGUUGUGUCCCGUCAACUUGCCGAACGAGGAGAAGCUUGCAGGAUGGGAGAAGCUUGCGCGCGGUGGCUCGCAGGACAAGGAGAAACUUUUGACUAAUGCAAGCUGUCCUUUGCUCAGGCAGUGGACGUGCAAUAGUUAAUUCGGUGUCAGAUUGCCAGAAGCAUACACUAUACUAGUACUAUUAUUGUUGCACUUCCCGAAGAGGCGAACAGCCAAGCGCAAAGUUUACUAGUACUAGGAACCGGAUGGAGGAGCGUAUGCACUCUUAUUAUAUUUUUAAAAUGUGAUAAAGCAAUCUUCAACACAUUUGUUUCUCUUCGAGGGUUCUCGCAUGUGAUAAUGGAAGUUGAUUGCAUGGAACACUCGCCACAAUUCUCACUUAAUUCUGGCUCAUAUCCUGUUACGAAUAGGAGCGCUCGGUAAUAUUUCCUCUCUUUUUUGUUAUUCAGCAUGUAAACAGGUCAGCAAACCUUGCGGCGCAUCUUUGUGCGAACCGUGCUUGCUGCACUUUAAAUGUGGCCGAGAGCUGGCUUGAUGAAACACCGCGCUUCCUACUUCUUUUUUUGCGGGGUACCUCGCUUCCUAGUGACCUGUGUCUUGGCUGAUCGUCCUAAGAAUGCUUAUAUAUGAAUAAAGCUCUCUCAUUUACCCGCAAAAAAGAGUAAGCCAUAUUAACCGGAAAGGAGGGAGUAUGGACUAGCACUACUUGUUGGUGUGUCCCGUCAACUCGCAGAACGAGGAGAAGCUUGCAGGACAAGGUGAAGCUCGCUUACGCCUUUUGACUAAUGCAACGUACCUCGCCCAGGCGGUGGACAUGCAUCAGUUCAUUCGGUGUCAGAUUGCCAGAGGCAUACACUGUAGUACCGAACAUGCGGAGUACCAUCAUUGUUCGACUUCACGAAGAGGUGAAGAGCCAAGCCCAAGGUUUAGUAGUACGAGUAGUACUACUACUAGAACCGCAUGGUGGAGCCUCUGUAGUCUUAUUUUUCUUAAUCUUUGAUAAAGUACACAUUUAUUCCGGAGAAGGGCGGAAAAUGGCAGCCCAACAUGUAAUGAUGAUAUCGAUCAACCAUGCUCGAAUAUAUCUUGGCCUCCGUGUGAGCCCGUCUGUGUGUUCUUGCUCCUCGUCUCUCUCAAGGAAUGGCGGGUUGGCCAUUUUGCCGUCAAUUGAGAUCGGUUUGCUCACACUCCGGUCCCACAUGUCAGUGAUAUGCCAAGACGAGGUGCGUUGACCGACUGGCCAUACGCGUACUUGGUUUUGCACCUUCAUACUACUCCAACCUCCAUCACAAUUUACAGGGCGCGCUUCAUUAUGAUGCAUUUCUCUCAAUGCAUUUCCACCACCAGAGAGACUUUAGACGCGUUUGGUUUAAUGCUCAAUUAAUUAGGGCGUGGUAACCGCAAUUUUCUCUCGAUGUAGUACUACGGAGUGGAGUACGUGCAUGCAUGUGUCUACCCGGGGUGGAAGCACUGCAUGCAUGUGUGUACACAUUAUUUCCUCUAGUAAUAGACGCCGUGCUAUAACUACCAAUGCUAUUUUUCAGGCCGAUCGCUAGUCGCCUUGGUCCCAGAGAUUUUCUCUUUUUCUGAAGCACGCUCUAUAAACAGUGACGGAUGGAGUAGUACGAGCGUAUUCAAAGAAGAGCGUAUUGAUGGUUGCUUCUUUCGAGCAACUUACAGUGGGAAAGGUGAGGCUUAUGAUUUGACUGCUCAUUACUCACUAUUAAUGCAGCGCAACGACCGGUCUGAGUCUCCCAUCCGCUGUGCACUACCCCCUCGGUUCUUAAAUAUACUCCGGAGUCUUUAUCUUUCUAGAGAUUUCAACGAGUGACUACUCAAAUAUUUGUCUUUUUAGAGAUUCAAAUGGACUACUACAUACAGAUGUAUAUAGACAUAUUUUAGAGUGUAGAUUCACUCAUUUUGCUCCGUAUGUAGUCACUUGUUGAAAUCUCUAGAAAGACAAAUAUUUAGGACGGAGGGAGUACACAUACGAAGCAAAAUGAGUGAAUCUACACUCUAAAAUAUGCCCAUUUGAUAUUUGUAAAAAGACAAAUAUUGUUGAUGACAGUUGUGACGACAAAAAAGAAGCAUAUUCCUUGUCCUAAGGGAAGAUAACAACACGGUUGUGUUUGUCUAAAACGGUGUGAGGACGAGAUUGCACUAUGGAAAGUACGCCGGACGAGCUACGUUUUGUGCAAAGAACUAUGGAAGAUCCACAUGCAGCGACGUGGGAAGACGGGCAGUGGAGCAAGGCUGGAGGGGAUACCUGGAGGUCGUCGGGAUGUAACUAGGUGAGUGAUACGUCUCCGUCGUAUCUACUUUUCCAAACACUUUUGCCCUUGUUUUGGACUCUAACUUGCAUGAUUUGAAUGGAACUAACCCGGACUGACGCUGUUUUCAGCAGAAUUGCCAUGGUGUUAUUUAUGUGCAGAAACAAAAGUUCCCGGAAUGACCUGAAAGUCCACGGAACUUAUUUUUGGAAAAUAUUAAAAAUACUGGAAGAAGAAUCCACGUCAGGGGGGCUCCACCUGUCCACGAGGGUGGGGGGCGCGCCCCCUGCCUCGUGGGCCCCCUGACGCUCCACCGACCUCAACUCCAACUCCAUAUAUUCGUGUUCGGGGAGAAAAAAAUCAGAGAGAAAGAUUCAUCAUGUUUUAUGAUACGGAGCCGCCGCCAAGCCCUAAAACCUCUCGGGAGGGCUGAUCUGGAGUCCGUUCGAGGCUCCGGAGAGGGGGAUUCGUCGCCGUCGUCAUCAUCAACCAUCCUCCAUCACCAAUUUCAUGAUGCUCACCGCCGUGCGUGAGUAAUUCCAUCGUAGGCUUGCUGGACGGUGAUGGGUUGGAUGAUAUUUAUCAUGUAAUCGAGUUAGUUUUGUUAGGGUUUGAUCCCUAGUAUCCACUAUGUUCUGAGAUUGAUGUUGCUAUGACUUUGCUAUGCUUAAUGCUUGUCACUAGGGCCCGAGUGCCAUGAUUUCAGAUCUGAACCUAUUAUGUUUUCAUGAAUAUAUGUGAGUUCUUGAUCCUAUCUUGCAAGUCUAUAGUCACCUACUAUGUGUUAUGAUCCGGCAACCCCGAAGUGACAAUAAUCGGGACCACUCCCAGUGAUGACCAUAGUUUGAGGAGUUCAUGUAUUCACUAUGUGUUAAUGCUUUGGUCCGGUACUCUAUUAAAAGGAGGCCUUAAUAUCCCUUAGUUUCCAUUAGGACCCCGCUGCCACGGGAGGGUAGGACAAAAGAUGUCAUGCAAGUUCUUUUCCAUAAGCAUGUAUGACUAUAUUCGGAAUACAUGCCUACAUUACAUUGAUGAAUUGGAGCUAGUUCUGUGUCACCCUAUGUUAUGACCGUUACAUGAUGAACCACAUCCGGCAUAAUUCUCCAUCAUCGAUCCAAUGCCUACGAGAUUUUCACAUAUUGUUCCUCGCUUAUUUACUUUUCCGUUGCUACUGUUACUAUCACUACAAAACCCAAAAAUAUUACUUUGCUACCAUUACCGUUAUUUCCAUACUACUUUGCUACUAAAUACUGACAACUCAACUGCUAAUACUUGAGAAUAUUCUUUGGCUCCCCUUGUGUCGAAUCAAUAAAUUUGGGUUGAAUACUCUACCCUCGAAAACUGUUGCGAUCCCCUAUACUUGUGGGUUAUCAAGACUAUUUUCUAGCGCCGUUGCCGGGGAGCAUAGCUCUAUUCUUUGAGUCACUUGGGAUUUAUAUCUGCUGGUCACUAUGAAGAACUUGAAAGACGAGAAAAAAAUUGAUCCCUCAACUACGAGGGGAGGUAAGGAACUGCCAUCUAGCUCUGCACUUGAUUCACCUUCUGUUUUGAGUAAGCUUGCGACACCUAAACCUGCUUCUGCUAUUCAUUCUGAUAUGUCGCAUGUUAUUCAUUAUGCCACUUCUGCUAUGCAUGAUACUUAUGAUGAAACUACUUCUAUGCUUGAUACUACUGUGCCACUUGGUGAAUUUCUUGAUGAACAACUUGCUAGGGCUAGAGAGAAUGAAAUUAUUGAAACUGAUAAUAUCGAUGAUAGUGAUGAUGAAGACUCUCCCCCUAAUAAAUAUGAAUUGCCUGUUGUUCCUGAGGGUUAUGCUAUGGAUGAAGAAGCUGCUAGAGCUAUUUUAGCUUGCAAUGAUAGAUAUGACCUAAAGAGGUUAUUAGCUAAAUGGAAGCAGCAAUCUCUUAAUGCUAGAAUGAAACCUGACCCUGCUUUUGCUAAUUCACCUAUCUGUGUUACUGAUAAGGAUUAUGAAUUCUCUGUUGAUCCUGAUAUAAUUACUUUGGUUGAAUCUGAUCCUUUUUAUGGUUAUGAAUCUGAAACUGUUGUGGCACAUCUUACUAAAUUAAAUGAUUUAGCCACCCUGUUCACUAAUGAUGAGAAAUCCCGCUACCUUUAUAUCCUUAAAAUAUUUCCGUUCUCAUUAAAGGGUGAUGCUAAGAUAUGGUUUAAUUCUCUUGAUCCUGGUUGUGUGCGUCGUCCCCAGGAUAUGAUUUAUUACUUCUCUACUAAAUAUUUCCCUGCUCAUAAGAAACAGGCUGCCUUAAAAGAAAUAUAUAAUUUUGUGCAAACUGAAGAAGAGAGUCUCCCACAAGCUUGGGGGAGGCUUCUCCAAUUACUUAAUGCUUUGCUUGAUCAUCCUCUUAAGAAAAAUGAAAUACUUGAUAUCUUUUAUAAUGGACUAACCGAUGCUUCCAGAGAUUACCUGGAUAGUUGUGCUGGUUCUGUUUUCAGGGAAAGAACACCGGAUGAAGCUGAUAUUCUAUUGAAUAAUAUGUUGACAAAUGAAAAUAAUUGGACACUUCCUGAGCCAACUCCUGAGCCUAUUCCUAAACCAACUCCGAAGAAGAGGGGUGUUCUAUUUCUUAGUCCUGAAGAUAUGCAAGAGCCAAAGGAAUCUAUGAAAGAAAAAGGUAUUAAAGCUAAAGAUGUUAAGAAUUUACCUCCUAUUGAAGAAAUACAUGGUCUAAAUUACCGCCUGUUGAAGAAAUAUAUGAUCUUAAUCCCUCACCUAUUGAAGAAACACAUGGUCUUGAUAACCCGACACAGGUAGUAAAGGUAAAUUCUCUCUAUAGAUAUGAUAAAGCUGAAAUCCCUCCUACUAAGUUUGCUAGCCAAUGUUUGGAUGAAUUUGAUAACUUUAUGGUUAAGCAAGAAGAUUCUAAUGCUUAUUUUGGUAGACAGUUAAAACAAAAUGCUUACAUGAUUGAACACUUGGGUGAUUAUAUGUCUAGAGUUAAAGGUGAACUUAAACUCAUUAGUAAACAUGCUUCUAUGGUUACCACUCAAGUAGAACAAGUACUUAAAGCUCAAAAUGAUUUGCUCAAUGAAUUAAAUAGUAAGAAUAAUGACUAUGCUGUUAGAGUGGCUACUAGAACUGGUCAAAUGACUCAGGAACCUUUGUAUCCUGAAGGCCACCCUAAGAGAAUUGAGCAAGAUUCUCAGAGAAAUAAUAUUGAUGCACCUAGUUCUUCUAAAAGGAAGAAAAAGAAAAAUGAUAGGACUUUGCAUGCUUCUAGUGAACCUAUUGCUGAACCACCUGAGAAUCCAAAUGAUAUUUCUAUUUCUGAUGCUGAAACACAAUCUGGUAAUGAACAUGAAACUAGUGAAAAUGUUAAUGAUAAUGUUCAUGAUGAUGCUCAACCUAGUAAUGAUAAUGAUGUAGAAAUUGAACCUGCUGUUGAUCUUGAUAACCCACAAUCAAAGAAUCAACAUUAUGAUAAAAGAGACUUUGUUGCUAGGAAACACGGCAAGGAAAGAGAACCAUGGGUUCAGAAACCCAUGCCUUUUCCUCCUAAACCAUCCAAGAAAAAGGAUGAUGAGGAUUUUGAGCGCUUUGCUGAAAUGAUUAGACCUAUCUUUUUGCGUAUGCGAUUAAUUGAUAUGCUUAAAAUGAAUCCUUAUGCUAAGUACACGAAAGAAAUUGUUACUAAUAAAAGAAAGAUACCGGAAGCUAAAAUUUCCACUAUGCUUGCUAAUUAUACUUUUAAGGGGGAAUACCUAAGAAACUAGGAGAUCCAGGAGUACCCACUACACCAUGCUCCAUUAAAAGAAAUUAUGUUAAAAAUGCUUUGUGUGAUCUUGGAGCCGGUGUUAGUGUUAUGCCUCUCUCUUUAUAUCGUAGACUUGACUUGAAUAAGUUGACACCUACUGAAAUAUCUUUGCAAAUGGCCGAUAAAUCAACUGCUAUACCUGUUGGUAUUUGUGAUGAUGUGCCUGUUAUGGUUGCAAACGUUACUAUUUUAACGGACUUUGUUAUUCUUGAUAUUCCCGAGGACGAUAAUAUGUCUAUUAUUCUUGGAAGACCUUUUUUGAAUACUGCAGGGUCUGUUAUUGAUUGCAACAAAGGCAAUGUCACUUUUCAUGUUAAUGGUAAUGAGCAUACGGUACACUUUCCGAGGAAACAACCUCAAGUCCACAGCAUCAAUUCUAUUGGAAAAAUUCCAUCGAUUAUUUUUGGAGGUUUUGAAUUUCCUCUUCCUACUGUUAAGAAGAAAUAUGAUAUUCUUAUUAUUGGGGAUGUGCAUAUCCCCGUUGAGGUAACAUAGUGUUAUUCGAAAUUUCUCUGGUUUCAUGUUACUUGAAAUGAGUUUGUUAACAAGACUUGAUCAACCUUGUUAGUGGAUUCCUUUUGAUGAGCAUGAGAUGGAUGAAGUUAGAAAGCACAACCUUCUAUACCCUUCUUUUACUUUCUGUUAUUUAGUUGAAAUAAAGUAAAAAUAGUAUUUUUCUGUCUGUUUUCUGAAUUAUCCAUGCAAUAUAAAAAUACCCCAAAAAUAAAAGUUCUCCAAAUGCCCUGAAAUUGGAAUAUGAUUUUUUCUAGAAUAUUUGAGAAUAUCUGGCACUGAGAACACAACAGGGGGAGCAAGCACCUGGCCACGAGGGUCCAGGGCGCGCCCCCCUGCCUCGUGGGCCCAUGGUGGCUCCCCUCCACUUAUGCCAGCCACCACACACUUCUUCUUCAUCCCAAAAAAAUCACUAUCCAGCUCAAGCACGAUUUCUAGCUCAUUUUGCUGCGUUUUUGAUCUCCUUGCUCAAAGCACCUCUCUCAAAACUUCUUUGGGGGAUUGUUGCUUGGUAUGUGACUCCUCCAAUGGUCCAAUUAGUUUUUGUUCUAGUGCUUUAUUCAUUGCAAAUUUGUGCUGCCUAGGUGACCAUGUUCUUGAGCUUGCAUGUCAAAUUUAUAUGGUUCCAAGUAGUUCUAAUGCAUGAUAUAGUCUCUAGGCACUUGUAGGAGUAGUUGCUAUCAAUUUUGUUGAGCUUGGUUCACUUUUAUUUGAAGUUACUAAAAAUUUCAGAAAUUUUUCAGAGGAAGAAAUAUGUUUAGGAAAAUGUACCAAGGUGGCCCUUCAAGGAAGCAAGGACCCAGGUUCGCAAUGCGCGAUGCCGAUGAUGAGCCACUAAGGAACGCUCCAGUGCGGCCUUGUGAAUGGCCUUCAGAAGACUUUAUGGAUCGAGCAGGAAUCAAGGAAGAAUUUAACGCAUAUUUGCGUAACGCUGAUCUUGUGAGCUUCGAGGAGGAAAAGUGCCGCCAGUACCACUAUCUCACUAGUUCCUUUGUGAGGAGGUUUGAAUUUUCAUCUUCACGCAAUUCUCAAACUGUCCUGUUUGAUCUUUAUGAAAAAUCUUAUACGAUGCACUUAGAGGAUUUUACCACUGCUUGCAAACUUCCACAAUGGGGUAGUGCUAGUGAACCUCGCAAAUCUGAAUUUAGAGAUUUUCUUGCUAGUAUAACUGUGGGGGAAUCUAGAGAUAUAGCACAAGCUACCAUAGGGAGCAUUCAUUUUCCUGUUAUACAUUAUUUUGCUCUCUUCAUAGGUAGGUGCAUAAAUGGUAAAGAUGAAGCAUGUCAUAUGUGUGUCCCUGACCUCAGUAUUCUUAGGAGUGCUGUGUUAGGAGACAAAUCUUAUAAUUUGGGAGCCAUUGUUGCACGUAGGUUGCAUCAUAAUAGAUUUAAUGGAGAUUUCUUUGGUGGAAUUUAUGCAACCCGCUUAGCUGAUUUUCUUGGUGUAACCAUACGUGAUGAUGAUAUUGAAUUGCCUCCUACUUAUCUAGACUUUAAUGCUAUGGUUUACCACCAGUUUGUCGAGAGGAAUGAACCACCUCUCCAGUACCGACUAAUCUUUGACAGGCGUCGCCCUGUCAAUAUUAUUCUCCCUGCUCCUGCUCUCUUUGACUUUCAGGAAAAAGGAAGACAUUUUAUAACUAGGGAGGAGGCAAAUGAGUACGAGAGGAGGACGGAGGCAACUCGCCGCCAUGCUGCAGCCCAGGAGGCAAUAGCCGCCGCAUCUCAGUACGACCCCGGCUACAACUAUGGAUAUCCGCGAGGCUAGCCGUGGCAGUAGACCAACUUAGGCCAAAAGCCUAAGCUUGGGGGAGUACGCAUUUCCCACCGACAUUACAUUUAUGUUCACACACACUCAUUGCUAGAUGUCGGUGCUCAUACUCUUUCAUUGUAUUAUCCAUGCUAGUUUAUUUUCUUUUUCUUGCUUUCUUCUUGUGUGUUUGAUUAAACCUUAAGAAAAACCAAAAAAAAUAGUAGUAGCUUUUAGUUAGUUUACUUUUCUUGCUGUAGUAGUAAUUAAAAAGAAAACCCAAAAAGAUUUCCAGUUCUUCUUUUGCUUGUUGGGAGCUUUCCCAUGUAAAUAGUUUUUAUUUCUUUCGUUUUCUUUGGGGUCGAUAGGAGAAGACCAUAAUUAAAUUGUUGAAGUGGCUCUUAUAUGCAUUAUUGUUGAUUUAACCAAGAGCCCAUAUUGCCUUGUCUUCUCCUAUUUAUUGAAUGCUCGCAGAUUCCAGCUUAGUCCAAUGCACGUGCACUCUUAUUAUUAUUCACAUCGUUCGGUCGUGCAAGUGAAGGGCAAUUAUGAUGAUAUAUGAUGGACUGACUGAGAUGAGAAAAGCUGGUAUGAACUCGACCUCUCUUGUUUUUGUAAAUAUGAUUAGUUCAUCGUUCCUGAUUCAGCCUAUUAUGAAUAAACAUGUUUGCAAUGACAAUUAGAGAUUAUAGUUGCUCGUGCCAUGCUUGAUUAGCUAUGAGUUAUAAUGGUUUACCUUGCGUGCCAACAUGCUAUUAAAAUGGUUGUGAUGUGGUAUAGCAGGGUGGUAUCCUCCUUUGAAUGAUUUAAGUGACUCGACUUGGCACAUGUUCACACAUGUAGUUGAAACAAAUCAACAUAGCCUUCACGAUAUUUAUGUUCAUGGUGGAUUAUAUCCUACUCAUGCUUGUACUCAAUGUUUAUUAAUUUUAAUGCAUGUUCAUGACUGUUGUCGCUCUCUAGUUGGUCGCUUCCCAGUCUUUUUCUAGCCUUCACUUGUACUAAGCGGGAAUACUGCUUGUGCAUCCAAUCCCUUAAACCCCAAAGUUAUUCCAUAUGAGUCCACUAUACCUUCCUAUAUGCGGUAUCUACCUACCGUUCCAAGUAAAUUUGUAUGUGCCAAACUCUAAACCUUCAAAUGAAAUUAUGUUUUGUAUGCUCGAAUAGCUCAUGUAUCAACUAGGGCUGUCCGUAUCUUACAUGCUAGGCGGGUUAUUCUCAAGAGGAGUGGACUCCGCUCCUCACUCAUGAGAAAAUGGCUGGUCACCGGGAUGCCCAGUCCCAUGUUUUAUGCAAACUAAAUCAAAAUAAUUGCAAACAAAACUCCCCCUGGGACUGUUGCUAGUUGGAGGCACUCGUUGUUUCGAGCAAGCCAUGGAUUGAUGUUUGUUGGUGGAGGGGGAGUAUAAAUUUUACCAUUCUGUUUGGGAACCGCCUAUAAUGUGUGUAGCAUGGAAGAUAUCGCCAUCUCUUGGUUGUUAUGUUGACAAUGAAAGUAUGCCGCUCAAAAUAUUAUUUAUCUCUGCUUUAAAACCGAGCUCUGGCACCUCUACAAAUCCCUGCUUCCCUCUGCGAAGGGCCUAUCUAUUUACUUUUAUGUUGAGUCAUCACCCUCUUAUUAAAAAGCACCAGCUAGAGAGCGCUGCUGUCAUUUGCAUCCAUUACUGUUAAUUUAUAUUGGGUAUGACUAUGACUGGAUCUCUUUUACCAUGCAUUACAAUGUUUAGUCAGUCCUUGAUCUUUAAAGGUGCUCUGCCUUUAUGUUUUGCGGUCUCAGAAAGGGCUAGCGAGAUACCAUCUUGUUAUAUCAUAUCAUGAUUGUUUUGAGAAAGUGUUGUCAUCCGAGAUUUAUUAUUAUUGCUCGCUAGUUGAUUAUGCCAUUGACAUGAGUAAACAUGAGACCUAAGUGUUAUUGCGAAUAUGGUUAGUUAUAAUCUUUGCUGAAAACUUGAAUGCUGGCUUUACAUAUUUACAACAACAAGAGCAAACAGAGUUUGUAAAAGUUUUUCUUUAUCGCUUUCAGUUUAUCAACUGAAUUGCUUGAGGACAAGCAAAGGUUUAAGCUUGGGGGAGCUGAUACGUCUCCGUCGUAUCUACUUUUCCAAACACUUUUGCCCUUGUUUUGGACUCUAACUUGCAUGAUUUGAAUGGAACUAACCCGGACUGACGCUGUUUUCAGCAGAAUUGCCAUGGUGUUAUUUAUGUGCAGAAACAAAAGUUCUCGGAAUGACCUGAAAGUCCAUGGAACUUAUUUUUGGAAAAUAUUAAAAAUACUGGAAGAAGAAUCCACGUCAGGGGGCCUCCACCUGUCCAUGAGGGUGGGGGGCGCGCCUGCCCCCCUGGGCGCGCCCCCUGCCUUGUGGGCCCCCUGACGCUCCACCGACCUCAACUCCAACUCCAUAUAUUCGUGUUCGGGGUGAAAAAAAUCAGAGAGAAAGAUUCAUCACAUUUUACGAUACGGAGCCGCCGCCAAGCCCUAAAACCUCUCGGGAGGGCUGAUCUGGAGUCCGUUCGGGGCUCCGGAGAGGGGGAUUCGUCGCCGUCGUCAUCAUCAACCAUCCUCCAUCACCAAUUUCAUGAUGCUCACCGCCGUGCGUGAGUAAUUCCAUCGUAGGCUUGCUGGACGGUGAUGGGUUGGAUGAUAUUUAUCAUGUAAUCGAGUUAGUUUUGUUUGGGUUUGAUCCCUAGUAUCCACCAUGUUCUGAGAUUGAUGUUGCUAUGACUUUGCUAUGCUUAAUGCUUGUCACUAGGGCCCGAGUGCCAUGAUUUCAGAUCUGAACCUAUUAUGUUUUCAUGAAUAUAUGUGAGUUCUUGAUCCUAUCUUGCCAGCCUAUAGUCACCUAUUAUGUGUUAUGAUCCGGCAACCCCGAAGUGACAAUAAUCGGGACCACUCCCGGUGAUGACCAUAGUUUGAGGAGUUCAUGUAUUCACUAUGUGUUAAUGCUUUGGUCCGGUACUCUAUUAAAAGGAUGCCUUAAUAUCCCUUAGUUUCCAUUAGGACCCCGCUGCCACGGGAGGGUAGGACAAAAGAUUUCAUGCAAGUUCUUUUCCAUAAGCACGUAUGACUAUAUUCGGAAUACAUGCCUACAUUACAUUGAUGAAUUGGAGCUAGUUCUGUGUCACCCUAUGUUAUGACUAUUACAUGAUGAACCACAUCCGGCAUAAUUCUCCAUCACCGAUCCAAUGCCUACGAGCUUUUCACAUAUUGUUCCUCGCUUAUUUACUUUUCCGUUGCUACUGUUACAAUCACUACAAAACCCAAAAAUAUUACUUUGCUACCGUUACCGUUAUUUCCAUACUACUUUGCUACUAAAUACUUUGCUGCAGAUACUAAGUUAUCCAGGUGUGGUUGAAUUGACAACUCAACUGCUAAUACUUGAGAAUAUUCUUUGGCUCCCCUUGUGUCGAAUCAAUAAAUUUGGGUUGAAUACUCUACCCUCGAAAACUGUUGCGAUCCCCUAUACUUGUGGGUUAUCAGUGAGCAGCGGCGGGCGGAAUCUGCCCAUACUGCGGCAGUGAGCAGGUGGCGUAGGCCCUACCGCGCCGGAGCUUGGUUAGAGAGAACGGCGUGUACCGCAGAUCGGGACGUGCUGCCUCGGCGCCGUCGAACGGAGAAACGAUGCAUGUCCUCCCUUUCCGCCGGCGGACGGGAUGCGGCCGGAUCAGUGAACAAUGGUGAGAGAGAGAGAGGCCACCGCAGCCUUGUGUGAGAUACUCUGAAGAGAGACAAACCAGGCAGGGAGGCUCCAUUGUAUAUAGUGGAGCAGACUACCUUUUUCUCCAUAAAAAUCGGUUUAUAUUCUGUGUACGUGCCAUUGAGCGAUAUAACUUUAUUUAAAAAUAACGCGCCAACGCAUCAAGUCGAACUUUGUCUCGUGCACGCGUGGUACACGACCUCCGUAGGUAAACAACCGCUACACGCGUUCAAAUUAGCACGUGGGCUGCCAUUUCGUACAGAAAUGAGCUCCACCGUGUACCCGCACGGGUGUGGCUGGGCACGAAGCGUGAGUAUGUGCACGGUGCACCUAUUCUCUUCUUGUAUACGUACACCACCUACGUGGGGUUGUGUGAGAGAGAUACAAACAUAGAGAGAUAUAGUGUGUGGGUUCGUGAGAGUUUUUUUAGGGGGGUCAAUCAAAAAAUGUAACAUAUGCAAUCUGUGUGAAAUAGAGUCCUGGAUAUAUCAUAUAUAUAGAGGGGGCGAUCCACGAGAAGAGAGUGGAGGUAUCAUCGACUUGAGGUGUCCAUAGAAUCGAAGAGAGGGAUGAUGUGUGUGUGUGCGCGCGGUCGAUAAAGAGUGCCAUCGAAUUUGUGUGUGCCCACGUCAAAGAUAUAGAGUGGCUGGCCUACUAGAACGAGAGAGGGGACAGGUGCGGUUUGUCUUUGUGGCAUGGAUACCUACCUACAGCACUCGACUAUCGGUGUGUGGUGGGGGGGGAGGGAGGCCUAAUUAACUAUAGAGGUACAAUGGCUGGUAUAUGUGUGGAGGAGGAGAGAGGCCUACCUCAUGUGUUAAGGGAUAUCGAUCUACCUCAUGUAUUAAGGGAGAAUGAUCGGCAUCCAUGCAUAUGUGCAGGAGAGGAAUAAGGUUGGGAGAGAGACAGAGCUAGAGUGUUGGAUGGGGUGGUAGUGGAGUUGCUUCUAACAAAUGGUGGGAUAGGAUUGCUAGACAACCGGAGGGCACGCCUGCAAUAUCAAUAAGAGAGGGAUGGCUGCCUGUCUGUGCACGUGCGUGUGAGAGACGGGUCAGGAGGCAUGCACGAAUGAUUGGGGCGAUAUGGAUGUGGUAAGCAGACAUAACUACAUAGGAAGAUCAAUCGUCCUUUGUCAGAGAAAGGAGAGACAUAACUUGUGAGGUACGUCGAUCGAUGGGGGGGAAUAGUUAAAGUCGACCUAGGUAUAUGUUGGGAGAUCGAUCGGUAUACAUGCAUGUGUGUGUUAGAAGCAAAUGAGGCACGGGGAGAAGGAUAGAGAGACAGGGAUGCAUCUAGGAGGUGGUGCGAGAGUCAUACUAUAUCGAGGGGUGAGAAGUGUGCGAGUACGAGAUCGAUGAAAAGAGUGCUGGGAGUGAGGCAUGGACGGUGAUAAGAGAAGAGGGGAAGCUUGUGUUUUGUGCUAGGCACCCCUGGCUAGAGAGGCAUAUCGAUCGAUGUGUGCCGUAAAGAAGGAGCUAGGGGGCCUACACACACCGUGGGUGAACGACCUAAAGUGAAAAGAUGAAUUUGCGCGAUGGAGCUAGAGAAUGCUGAGGGAGGGUUAGAGGGAUGCGGGCAUCUGCAUGCACGAGAGAAAGUUAGCGCUAGCUAGCUACAAAGAUAAGAGGAUUGUGUGGGUGUAAAAGACGAAUAGAGAUCAUACUUCAUUAUAAAAAGUGAAUUCGGAUAUUUGAAGAAUUUAUCAUAGUGUUUUAAACCGACGCAUGUGUGAAUAUAUAUAACGGUAAUACACAUGGUGUGGUUAUGAACAUGUUAUACUACAUAUAAUAUAUUUUAUCUCUACUCAUAUAAAAAAAUGAGUUGUUGAUGAUGGUGCCAUCCUGCAAUAUAGGCCGUCCGAUUUAUAUCUGACGGAUAGGAAGGAAACUAUGGCAAUUUUGAAAAAACAUACCCACACCCCUCUCCAUAUUUGCAAAUUAGGCCUCCCCUUGAUCAUGUUGAUGUUCUGUGGAACGCAUGGGCAUCUUGCUAGUACUACGUAUAACAUAUAGAACAUUGAUCAUAAUUUGGGCUAAUGUGUGGCUUUUGCAGCUCAGGUCUAAAUACUUGUCAUAAUGUAGGGGGCGGGGCACUAUACUAUGUGUGAUAAACACGGUGUACACGUAUGGAACAUGGUUUAGAUUAUGAAUAUAUAGUUAGUACAUCAAAUGUACUAUUAUUUGGAAUCAACAUCAAGUGUAUUCAAAAAAUAGAAUUCGAGUUCAUGUAGUACACCUAGUUCAUAUCUAUCUCUAUAGUAAUCAUUCGGUAUGUUAUUAAGGUAAUACACGAAUGAUGGUUGAAGUUGGCAACAAUCAUGAUUGUAGAUUUGUUAUUGAAAUAGAGAAACGAAUUCAAAUUUAGUUCGAAUUGCAGCGGUAGUAUAGACAUUUGGAAUGCACUAAAAUGUUGGUAUGAGUAGGUUACAUGCAUUAUACAGCAAGCGAAAAAAUUUAAUUGGACAUAACAUGGAUUCAUACUACCGAAUAUCAUUUAAUUGCACUAAAUUGUUGGUAUGAGUAGCUUUAAAUAGCAUUUUUAUAGUAAAACGGGGCAAGACUCUCUCUUUGUGUGGUGUGAAUAGUUUUUAUUUUUUUGUUUUCUUUUUGGUUGAGGGAAGUGCGAAUUGAUUUGGUACGUACAAGUACAAUAUUACAUGUUAGGCUUGUCCCUAAAAUUCAACCCGCGCCUUGUUAUAUCCCGAAAUUUCAGAUAUCGUGCUCCCAAAACUAGCGCUUCACAACCCGCGCCUUGCUAUCCCGAAAUUACAACGUGCACGAAAACUCCCUCCAGCUGCCAAACCCCGACACGCGAAAUCCCCCUUCUAACCCUGAACCGAAAGGGCCGCUAGUUCAAAUCGGUGCGGGGUACUUUUGUAACACACCCUACAUUUUGGACAAGCGCGUCCCUAAGUCAUGGUUCACCCCUCCCAUCGCCUCCUUUUUGCCAUUCGAAAUCCUAGGCCGCCAUAACCUCUCCGCUCCAGCCGCGAAACCCCACCCUCCUCCGUCCGCCACCUCACCGCUGCCCAGCCGGAGCCUCUUCCCCGACGACGUCGUCCACCGCAACAACUCGACGUCCCACGUCCACCUCCCCGGAUGAGGAUUCGUCGUCCAUCUCGUUGUCUCGCCGAUUCAGCCGCCCCGUCUUCCACCUCCAAGGAGCUGCUCCGACGAUCGCCUCGUCUAUCGUGGCUGCUCCAUCCCCACCGCGCCGCCUUAACCUGCUCCACCGGAACCGCAGCAUCCUCAUCGACUCCUCGGACGAAGCCGAGGCCUACUCGGCGCCACCAAAGAGGUUGUACACUCAUCGCAUCGCACCUUCUCCUUAGCUCGACCUCCCGGCGCCGACGUUGCUCCAUCCCGCACCCCCAUGGAGCGGCUACCUUGAAGCCGGCGCCAUGGGCGACAUCUCCAUGGCGGCUCUCCCCCAGUGCGAGGCCCCUUCAGCGGCGGCGUCCAUACCAGCCGGAUCUGCUGCUACUGCUCCGGCUCUCGCUCGCUCGCCCAGUUGCUGCUGCUCCGGCUCUCGCUCGCUCGCUUGUGCUGCUGCUGCUCUCCCCCUCGCUCGUGCUACUGCUCUGCUCCGAUUUAGCUACACUUCAGUCGACUGAAUUGACUUUUGGGUCAGUCAAUUUUCAGGGGGUGGGGGGGCUCGUCGGAGUUAAGGAAGAACCACCCGCAGCGGGGACGGGGGCUCGCCGGAGAGGUACCCCACUAUCUAUCUUAGGGUUCAGGGUGGGGGCGGGGGGCCUAUAGGGCUGGCCGGGGCGGCGGCGGACCGACGGUGGGGAGUUGUUUCGGGGCGGUGAGGCGGCGCUGGGGCCGGCGGUGAGGCCGGUGGUGGCUGGCGGCUCAGGGGGGUGCAGGUUGAAGAUGAACUCAGGCCCUCCCUAAACUACAUGUCAAGUGCCUCUGUGCUACCAUUGCGUUCAGUUUCGAUAGUAACAUUCAGAUUCCAAAUUAAUGUUCAAACUUGAGUUCUAAAUUAGUUAUGGGGCACAUAUCGAGUAAGCAAUGAAUAGUAUCUCUGUCUAUCUGGUUCACCUAGGGUAUGCCUAUGUUGUUCAUCUUGGGUGGGAAACAAAUAGUAAAGCAAUCAUCAUCUGUCUUUUUUAUUAAAUUAAAGCAAUCAUCAGCCUGCUAUCAUUAUUUUUGGAUACAUCCACUGGUUGUUACCAUCACUCUAAAUUUCUGCAUGCUCUCCUUACAUAAUCUCACCAUAUUUUUUUUCAUAUGCAUGUCAGAUAUUGUACACAGUCAUGUUGAACAUGUAGAGAAAAAGAGAAGAGUUUUGCGCGGCAAUACAAUGUCAUGCAGACAUCGCUCCAUGGUGGGUUCAAUGGAAAACCCUCCCCACCCCUCUCCAGAUUGUAAUCCAGAGGAAGCUAUCUGUUCUGAGGCGGAUUCAGACGCCGCUGACCACUCCUAUUUACCCCCCAAGGUGUUUGCUCUACCUUGGCAUGAUGAUGUUAGUCAUAUCAUGCAUAUGUUGCCUUGCAGUGCCUACUUUUGAAAUCAUAUAUGUCAUCUGCUUAGUUUAGACAUGUUCUGUAAUGCCACCUGUUUAGUUUCUAUAUCAUAUAUGGGAAUUGUGCAGUCUCAUGUCUUUUAGCCAGCCAUAAUAUACGUGAAAUGUGCAAUGCCAUCCUGUUUAACCAGGCAUCAUAUAUUUGAAUGAUAUCUUGCCCAUCCUUUUCUUCAUUACAUUUCCAUUUGUCGACAAUGUUUGUACAUUAAACUACUCUUCCUGUGAAUUAGCCAUUUGGGUGGGAGAUUGAAAAAUCUGGAGUGAAAACAAGGCCUUCUGAGCAGACAGUGCUACUUGUCGAAGCAGAUCUCUUGUUGGGUCCCGAUAGCUCCUCAGAGAUGGAUUCAGAGACAGAUGA